rnacentral:lncRNA from 1 species
AUUCCUAGAUGGGGUGGUGCAAACAGCAGAGGAGCUAGUAGAUGAUGAACACCCAUUACAGUACAAGCCCUUUGAACACCUGAAGCUUCUUGAUUUCUAUGAAUCAUCCAAUGAUCCGGAUAAACGUGACAUCAAUAUCAUGAAAACCUACUGUGGUGUUUAAUACUCUAAAAUGUAAUGACAUGUCUCCUUUUCUUUUGUUUUUCCUCAGUCGAUUGUUUUCAACCAGUCUUAUUUGUACCUCUUGGGUGAAUGAAAUGUUUAAUUAUUUGGUGAAGGCUAGGAGUCAUGUUCUACCUUGGGAUUAUUGAUCUUGUUUGCAAACAACUUUUAAUUUUACGAUUAGAUCUCUGAAGUUUCAGAAAUUCUAAAUUUAAGCCCUUCCAUCAAUAUCUUUCUAUAUUGUUGUAGGAAUUAUUUAUUGCAGAGAAUAUUUAAGGCCUUCCAUCAAUAUCUCUAAAAAUAUUUGAAUUAUUUGAUAACAAAAUUAACAUUACCAGAAAUUCAACUAGAACCAUCAGAAUUACCGGCGCAAUUUUUCUAUUGGUAAUUUACGUCCAUCAGUUCAAUAAGACCCCAACAAAUUUGAGUCCAACAAAAGCUUUAGCCAAUUCAAGUCUAGUAAAGAUCUUGGAAGAUUCCUUUAAAUUCAACCCUAUUAAUUAGAAAAUCCAACUCUAUCAACAUAAAUGAGAGUCAACUCUUUAAUCAGGAAGAUCCAAGAAAAUUCAACCUACUAGUCAAGAAAUUCAACCCUACCAUCAGGAAUUAGCGUCAACCUUACAAUCAAGAAGCUCCAUGGAAAUUCAGCCUUAUUAAUCAGGAAAUUCAAACAUGCCAUCAAGAAACAAUGGCAACUUUAUAAUCAUGAAGCACAAAGAAAAUUCAACCAAGAAAAUUCAAAUUUUUUUUUGUAUUUUGGAAGUUUUGAAAAAAACCAGGUAUUUUAAUACCGGAUUUUGUAUUUUUUUCAAAAUAAAAUAUUUGUUAAAUGUGUUUUUUUUUUAUUCUGGAAAUGGGCUGCACCCGACUCAAAUUAGUGGUUUGUGCUAGGCUGGAUUCAGCCCAAAACUAAAGGGGCUAGUUACUGUGCAUAAGAGCCUUUUUUUUCUUUUCUUUUCUUCUUCUGCUCGAAGAGUUGCUGCUGCUGGUGGCAAUGGAGAGGAGGCGCAAUGGUGGCGCUGCUGGGUUAAAGGUGGCCGGUGGUGGUUGUUCUUCUACUCCAAUUCCCCAAACAUUUCAUCCUAAUAUGCUUCAAACAAGAUUAGACAGCAGGUUCGUGUUCAUAUUAGGGGUGUCUUCCAAUUCUAUCUACCCGGCCUUAAUUAAUUGUAGAAACGUUUUUUUGAAGGCGUUGCAGGUAUUGAUGUUAUGCCUAGCAAUACCAGCAUGCUAUUCACAAUUGAGUUCUGGCUUGUACCAAUUAGGAUAAGGUGGCUGUAGAGGUGUCAGAGGUUUUGGAGCUAUCUGUCUGAUGCUCAAUAGUUUUUGAUACAUCUCAUUCAGGGGUAGCGGUAGUGGAGGUAGUUACCCUUAUGGGAAUUUGCUUAUUUUAGAUGAUUUAAAUUUCAUUGAAAAAUUAAAUUAAUACAUUUAAAAGAAUUUCCAACAGAACAACUAAUUUAAUCCUAUAAUGAAUUCAAUUCACAAUAAAGAAAAUUUUCGAUAUGCAGUGGAAGAAGAAUUGAAAAGGCCCAGUAGUUUACAAUUUAAAGAGGUUUAAUUCGUGGGUAGCUAGCCUAUGUUCAUGUGCUAGGCAGAGCCGAAUCUUAAGUUUUCUUUUUGGGACUUCUUGAAAGACGAGGACAUGUUUCUUAAUUGAAUAGGGCACCACUUCUAGGACAAGGCCCAAUAGAUGGUGAUGGAUGAAAUGUAUGCAUAUUAAAGGAAACAAAAAAAUCAAAUCAAUUAAAUAUUAAUAGAUAAAAACAAAUUUAAUUAAAGAAAUAACAAAAUUAGAACCCACCUCAAAAUAACUUAUGAUUCGGGUUAUAAGAUUAUAAUAGCUUCAUAAAAAGCAUAUUGAAAUAAAUUAUGAAGUUUAAUUCGUAAAGAACUUAAUAUUAAAAGAUGAAAUUGAAAAUAAAAAUUAAAUAUUUAAUAAAAAAAACAAGUCACAAUUCUAAUAAACAAGGGUAAAAGUGAAUUCUGUUUAUUAUAAUUAUAAUAUCAUGUGUAUAUAUUUAAGAUGUUGUGAACAAUAAUGUAAGGUUAUAUGUGGUAAAUAAAUAUGUAGUUAAAUAAUUAAGAGUUAUAAAUGACCUUAAACAAUAGAUUAAUAAAUUAAAAAUAUCUUUAGAUAUAUAAAAAUUAUUAUAUAUACUGUAACACUGAAUACAAGAAUAAUUAGGCAUCAAGAAUUUUAUGCCAAGAAAAGAUUCCAAAUAACUUCGGCAUAAUAUGGACCACUCAUCUAACUAUAAAUUUAUAUGAUAUUGGGAAAAUAAUAAAUUAUCUCCUUAGUUUCAAUACCUCAACAAUGACCCGUUAAUUAAUUUUAUUAUGUAAAAUUAAUAACAUAAUCACCACUAUGAAUCAAGGACCAUUACUUUUUUUGUUCUUAGGGACCAGAUUUUGACCCUUCAAAUACAACAAUCAAAGCAUACGCAUUGGUGCACAUCUUGUCUUUGAUUUCAUAUAUUAAAAAAAAAAAUUGUGCCUAUAUAUAUAUACACAUCCUUGCUCAAUCGGGGCCUACUUUCUUAUAUUUAUUAUUUUUAACGUUAGGGACCAUAUUUUUUUUAAUUUAUUUUCUAUGGAAUCAGGGACCAGAUUUAGACCCUUCGCUACAAUUUAAAUCUCAUUGAGUAUAUAAUUAGAGAGAUACAAAUAUAUAUAUAUCUCCUUCCACUGCCUCAAUAAUGAUAUCGUAAUUGUCUAUUUUGGUUGAUGAGGUGUACCAAGAUUGAAUGGGAAACUUAACGUUAUUAUUACAUUCCAUCCAUUUAAUCUACAUCAUAAAAAGCUUUGUAAUUGAUAUUUAACCUGCUCCAUGCAAUAAAUAAUAAUUAAAAAAUUUAACGACUUCAUCAAACCUUUUUAUGAUAUAGAUUAAAUGAAUGGAAAGUCAAUAUAAGGUUUAAAAAAUUUUAUAUGAUUAAAAGUUAUAUUAGUUUUUUAAAGCAUUUUGGUCGUGUUCUGCUGAUAGUAUUUUAUAAUUUUAGGUUAUUAAUGAAAUUUGAUAAUUUAACUAUGAGUUUCAUUGUAAAACUCAUGUUCUAGAUAACUUAGUAGUUAUAUGACUCGCGCGAUGCUGCGGGUUAAUUUGUUUUGCAUAAAAAAUAUCAAAAAAUACUAAGAUCUAAGAAUAUUAGGUCUUUCUACAAAGAUAUAUUCAAAAGUCUUGGGUCUAGCUACAACGCUUGACCCAAUACUACUAUUUAUAAUAUUAAUAAUAAUAUUAAAUUUACAUGAAUUAAGUUUAAGUGAGCCUGACUGCAACAUUGAACCCAAGAGCAUUGAAGUUCUGCCUUUCGAGUCGUUUGCUUGAAUCAUGUUCACCAAGAGACAGAUUUUUUUGCAUAAGAAGAUGGGUCAACGCCCUUUUCAUUAACGCUUGGAUAAAAAUACAUUUAGAAAUAAAAGAAAUACAACAUGCUAAUCCCUUUCCUCCCUAAACUCUUUAGCCAAAGGUAAGAAAGCAAAGCCGCGGUUCUCAAUCUUCCCUAGAAAGGCAUCAGUUUCAGCUAGGCUUCGGCGAUAGCGAAUGAUGUCUCCCCCCACAUUCCGCGCAUUGAUUCUAACAAUUCGAGCAUGUGCAGCAGCUUCGUCCAUUUGCUCAUCUGUUUUGGUCAUUUUUUCUAUGAGCAACAUGUUGGUUCUGUUCAAAGCAGUGUUGUUGGCGUCGAUUUGAUCUUUGUGCUUUUCCAUUGCUACUAGCUUCUCGUCUAAAUACUUCGACUUUUCGCGUUCUUUGUCAAGCUUUAUCCUCAUGACUUUUAUCUCAUUCUUCUUGACUGCUAACUCUGCUUUAACAUCCUCGAAUCCUCCCUUUCGCUUUCCAACUCCAUAUAUUUCUUAUUCAAAUCCUCAUACUUCCUAAUCCUAUCCAUCAGCUCGAAUUGCACUUGCGCAAAUUUUUCUUGGUAAUAUUCUGCACUUUCUUGGCAAUCGCUAAAGUCCAUCUCCAUUGCUUCAAGUUCAGAGCAACUUUGCAUCCAAUCCAAACUCAACCCUUUAAGCUCCUUCUCACUUCCUUCCUUAGCAAUCUUCUCCUCAACCAACUUUAACUCCAGCUUUGUUAUUUUCAUCUCUAGACUGUAUUUGCUCAUCUAGAAAUGUUCUCAUUUUAUCCUGUUCUAGCAUCAUUUCUUCCAACAUUGCUUUGUCUUUUCUGCUCUUGCUCAAUUCUAUUCGUAGUUUUCCACUUGCCUUCUCAAGUCUUCUUCAUUACUAACCUCUUUCUCUUGAUAGGCUCCUCUUACAGUUGGAGAAGAUUUGACUUCUACACAAGGCAUGGCUGAAGCAGCUGAAUCAUCUUCAAUGUUCACCCUUUUUCUCUUAAUAGGCUCCGCUACAUCUUGAGGAGAUUUAGCUUCUACGCAAGGCGUGGUUGAAGUAGCUGAGUCUCUCCAUUUUACAUAUCCUUCGCUCACACUUGGAUCUCUCAACCCUUCUAUCUCCACCAACACUAGAUGCUUCCAAUCUUGCUUGAUGAUCUCCAAAACCUCUUCUGCCAUGGGAUCUUUGAACAAACCAGAGAAUUGAGCGAUUCCCAUAGUCCUGGGAACGAACUGCAUGCCCCCAAGUUGUCUUACCACUAAGGCAGGAGCAUAACUCACAUAACCCGUGAUCCCCACCAAUGGUACCCAACGCCUUUGUCCACAACUCAUUAGGACCUUCACUGUCGUUACCCAUGGGGCCCUCCACUUAAACUCGCUAUUAGGUAAACCUUCUAAUUUAUCAACCCAACCCUGGUUGUCUAGAUCUCCCCAUUCUUCUUCUUCUACUAACUUGAGGGGUUUUUGGGUGAACCACCAAAAAUUAUUGAAGACAGGUUUCUUUGUCUCGAUAUGGCUAACCAUCCAAAUAUACAACAGUUGCGUGCAGCAUCUCAUUGCUCCUUUUCCGGCCCUCCUACAAUGGUUAAGUGUCAAAAUUGUUUCGGCUAAAAUAGCAGCCACUGGAUUGAUUCGUGUAUUCUCAUACUCCACGUAAGCAGCAGCGGCCUCCAAACUCACUAAACCAAUCUGACUUGGGAACAACACAAGGCCAAAUAUACCUAGGGCAAUCAAUCUCUCUUUUUCUACUCCUGACUUCUUUUCCAAUUCUAGCAUCCUCCAUUUCAAACCGGUACCAUUCUUUUCCAGAAACUUUUCCAAGUUGGAGAUUCUGAGCAGCUUUGACAGUUCAGGGAUGAUCUUGUCGGAUCUUAAAGGAGAAUAAAUCCGAUACAGGUCGUUGGGAAACUCGGUCAACAAUCCAUAUUCCUCAACCGUGGGGCACAAGUCUAUGCUUCCAAAGGAAAAACAUCGGUAGUCUGGAUCCCAAAAAUGAACUAAAGCUCGCACAGCUGGGCUUAAAACUUCUACCUUUGCAAUUUCCAUCAAACGUCCGUAUUUCCUAAAAAAUGCAUCUUUAUCCACAUUCUGAAAAUGAGUCGUUAACUUGUUCACCUCAUUCAAUAUGCAAUUCAGGUUCUUGAUUGGUGACAUCUUCUUAGCAUCGCUUCUAAGGCAGUCUCCUUCAGUCAAUUGUGACAGUUCAGAAUUUUUUCCAUACUCUAAGAUGGAAGAUUUAGUGAUGAUGGCCAUUUCGUUCACAAGUCCUGCAAUUCAAAAUGCAUUGGGGUUUAGACUUGUUUUGAUGCAAAAGAUAUGUUGGAACAUACACCCUAAGGAUAGGUUCUAGUUUCUCUACGUGAGACAUAGGGUAGGUUUACUAUUGGGUCUCUAAAAGAGGGUCUCUUGCUGUUCCAGUGAUCAACCUUCGUAAAGGCGAUAUGGAGGUCUAGCAGAUAGUGGGAUGGUACGUGUACCAAUCACAAUCAGUCUAAACACUCAGCAAAGAGUUGGGGUUUACACAAACUUAAACCUUGACUCAAGUCAUAAGGCAAGCUGCUAGUCCCCCACUUAAACUUAAAGUUACAUGUGUGUGCCUCCAAAACAUAAUAAUAAUAAUAAAGUGAUGCAUGACUAUGCCAUGUAUGAUAGAAUGUAAAGAUAUAUGCUAAAGCUUUUAAACAAAGCAUCAUAAGAAAACAAAAACCAAUAACACAUAACAUAAACAAACAAACAAAUCAAGCUUAGUCCAAGAGUCCCCAGUGGAGUCGCCAUUCUGUCGCACCCCCCCAAAAAAAACGAAAAUUUGUUUGACGACAUUCGACUUUCGUUUUGUUUUACUGAUUUGGUGUUUUGGAGUUGCCACCUAGUAUUUUGGUCACUAGGAACCCUAAACUGGUUGCGUAAAGGGAAGGUAUUAGCACCCCUAAUACGCCCUACCUAAGGUAAGCUGCUCGGUGUUUGGUUUGCUCUUAUAAUCUAUGGUGUUGGUGUUUUCUAGUCUCGUCAAUUUAUUUUGGAUAGAAAUCUAAGGAGAUUCCAUGUGCUUUGAAAGCUCAUUUUUCCCUUAGUAUUUCAAAAGUUUGCGACUCAUAAAUCGUGGUAAAAAAAAUUAAAUUUUGAAAUGUCCUCGAUUAUAAUCAAGGCUUCUUUCAAGAAUGUGUGCGGAUUUAUUACUCCCAAUAAUAUUUUGGAUAUUCAUCCUUUUAAGGAUUUCUUUAUCCAAACAUUAGCGGUAAAUAAUAAAUAAAUUUCCUCCCAAAAAUAAGAUUUUUAUAGUUUUUUGGAAUAUUGGCCAAUACCCUUUGGAGUUUUACAAACAUGUUGUAAAAUCCAGAAAUGCAAGAAAAUAAUUUGUGUUUAAGAAAUCUAUGCGAAAACACACUUUCGAAGCUUCCAAUAUAUUUUUUUAUAAAAGAACAUUCAAAACAUGUUAGAGUAUUGGCCGUAUGCAACACGCAAGAAAACAUUUUUUUUUUUAAAUAUUGGCAAAUAACAAUUAAAAUUUUAAAAAAAAGAUGUAAAAACCAAAAAUGCAAAAAAAAAAUUUGUAUUUAAGAAAAAAAUGAGAAAACAAACUUUCAAAGCUUCCAAUAAAUUUUAUUUAAAAAAAAAAACAUUCAAAACAUGUUAGAGUAUUGGCCGUAUGCAACACGCAAGAAAACAUUUUUUUUUUGUAAAUAUUUGUUUUUUACGAAAACAGGUAUUUUAAACACUGAAUUUGUAUCUCCACGGUAUAAAAAUACAAACCAAUAUAAAAAAAAAUAAACAAAAUGUGCAGGAAAAAUCAACAAUAUUUUUUAUCUUUGAAAAUCUGGAUGUCUUGAUGAAAACCGGGUAUUUUAAAUACUGAAUUUGUAUCUCCACAGUAUAAAAAUUCAAACCAAAUGUAUAAAACAAAAAUAUAUAUAUAUGAAAAGAAAACAACAACAUUUUUUUUUAGAUUUUUCAGAUUGUUUUCAAAACAUAUAUAUAUAUAUAUAUACACACCUAAUAUAAUAAUAAUAAUAUAAUAUAAUUAUAAUAUAUUUAUAUAUUAAGGGAGCUGGGCCGGCCCAACUAACUGGGCCGGGAUCAACCCCACAAGUCAUUGGGCCGAGAUCGGCCCAAAAGUGACUAGGCCGAUUUCGGCCCAAGAAAAGUAUUAACUUGGUCUGGGCCGGACCCGGCCCAGACCGCCGGGUUGGGCCAGAAUCCUUCUAGCCCAUAUACCUGUUUCUGGGCCAGAAACCGCCAGACGGUUUCCCCCCUGUCCCCUGCAUGCAGAACGAUUCUGCAUGUAGGGGACGCAAUUUAUAAGUAAUACAAGAAAAAAAUGCAGGGGGAGAGAACGUACCUGGCGUGGCGGAGACGACAACUUGCUGGCGGUGCUGCUGUGGAGGCGGUGGCAGCGUCCUAACUCGCGGCGGCUCCUAACGGCGAUUUCCUAAGCAAACGAAAACGAAGUCCUCUCUGUUUGUUUUCUUGAUUUUUGUUUUCUAAAUUUCCUUCCAGUUUCAAACUUUCACUCUUCUCUCGUUUUUUUAGUUUUCGUUGGCUCUCUCUCCUCGGUUGGGUGUUUCUCUCUCUUCCUCUCUCUCUUCGGUUUUUCUUAGUUUUCUUCGGGUUCCUCUCUUUUUUUUUUCGUCCCUUGUUCUCUCUUUCGGUUCUCUAUUUAUAGAACCAGUGAGCGUGGCUUCAACGUGGAGCCAAGGAGCGGGUCGAGGAGCGGCUGUCCAGGCGGGCCUCCCUCGGCUUCGGCAGCGCGGCGGGUGGUCGGCCAAUGUCUUCUGUCGGUGGCCCACCGGCGUGGGGCCUCGGUUGGUCGGUGGCAAGAGGGACCUGCAACAAAUAAAAAAAAAACUUCUUUUUUCCUUCUUCCCCGCUGCAUGUUCUGGGGAAGAAGAAAGGUGAACAGUGCCGUUCAAAACGGCACCGUUCAGUCUUCUAUUUUUUUUUUUUAUAUAUGUAUGAAACGACGUCGUUUUGGAGAAAACGCGCCGUUUCAUUUAAAAAAAAGGCGCCAGAACCUUGUUUUUGAAUCAGUCCUUAAUUUAUCAUUUGUUCUAUUAAGUCCUUCAAUCGAGUCUUGAUUUUAAGAAUAAAAUUCAAUUGCGUCCCUGCCAAAUUCGGUCCCUACCCCUAUAGUUGGCCGUGUUUUUCACUUUGGUCCUUGGCCUCUGAUUUUCACAAUUAAGCCCCUAAUUGAUCAAUAAACUUCCAAUUUCUUCAAUUAAGCCCCUGAAUCAAUUCCAAACAGCCCCCUCUAUCUUUGCGCCUUCUCCAAAUUGGUCCCUGGUUUCGGAUUUUCACAAUUAAGUCCCUAAUUGGCCAUUAAACUUCAAUAUUUAUGCAAUUAAGCCCCUGAUUUGACCUAAUAAAUUCCUAAAAAAUAUAUAUUGGCCCCAGAACUUAAAUUUCUUCUAAUUAAGCCCAAAUUGACUUAAAAAUCAAUUUUUCUUGCAAUCAAAUCUUCUAUAAAUUCAAAUAAAAAUCCAAUUAAGUCCAUAAACAUCCAAAUUUGGGCUUUUCUCCUCAAAAUUCAAAUUUUCUUUCUUAAUAGGGCUUUCAUCCUUCAAGAAUAUACUGUCAAAAAUUCAAUCCUUGUAUUUUCAAAUUCCUUGACUAAUUUUCUGAUUGUUUUCUGAGCGCUUCUGCCUCCUGUUAUUUUUUCUAACCUCUUUUGGCUAUUUAUUUUAUUUUUUAUGGGGACCUAAAAAUGGGUUACAACACCAAGGAUGACAAGAAGAUCAAUGUUGAGCUUUCACCUUCGUCUUUUGUUGCCAUAGCUGGUGAUGCAUUAAAGGUGAGUCACUGAUUAUGAUUAUGUAUCUUUCAAAUUAUAUGCCAACCUAGCUGCUGUGGAUCAUAUGAAUCCAAUUAGAUAAUUAUUGGUGAGUCAAUGAUUAUGAUUAAUUAUUUGUCUAACGUACAGGCAUGGAGCAAUGACAGAAUAAUAUCUCCUAGCCACCGUGUUAUCAUGAACGGAAAGAUAGACAGAUACUCCAUGGGGCUGUUUGCUUUCAACAAUGGAAUAAUACAAGUUCCUGAAGAACUUGUUGACGAGGAGCACCCUUUAAUGUACAAGCCACUGGAUCAUAUUGGACUCCUUCGUUUCUAUCGGACAGAAGAGGGAUACAAAAGCAAAUGUCCUAUCAAGGCUUAUUGUGGCGUCUGAAAUUAAAGGGAAAAAUGGACUUGUACAAUAAUUAGUUGAUGCACUCUUCUGCUUGCUAUAUAAGGCCUGUUUCUAUGUAUUUCGAUUCCAACGCCAGUGUUUUCUUUUUCUUUUUCUGAAGGUUGAUGGUUUUUUUUUUCCUUUUUUUGUGCUUGCAUUUUAAAAUGUAUUAAUGCUUCGUACAAGAAGCAAUUUAAUGAAUGUCAUAUGUGGUUGUGGUUAGAAAACUGUUGUUCUUCAUGAUUAUGAUGCCAUAUCAACAAUCGUGUUGUUCUAUGAACAUUCACAAGCAUGAAAAUAGUGAUAUAUAUGGCCAUCACAGGGCUGGUUCAGCAUGAAGUGUUCGUUGAUCCUCUCGAGAAAGUCCGGGUUAAUUAUCCAAGUGAUUUAAUGAGCUGAAAAAUAUAAAAUACAUGGGAAAAUACAACAAAUUAAUCAUUUAAAAUGAGUCAUUUUUAAUGAAAAUGAGUCUCUCUCUCUCUCAAAUAGAUCAAAAAAGUAAGAUUAAUGUAUAAUCUUAGUAUUUGAUCCGAUAUUUUCCUGAGAGACAAAAAAUACAAAUUUAAAUAUAUCAAUUCAUUUUAAAUAUAUUUGGACAUAUGAUAAGAUAUUUAAAUAAUAUAUUUUUUUAUUUUUUAAAAAAUUAUUUUCAAUAUCAGUACAUCAAAAAGUUUGAAAAACCAAAAUAAAAUUAAUUUAAAAUUAAAAAAUUAAAAAAAAUUAAUUUUUUUUUAAAAUACUUUUAAAAUGUUAAUAACAAACACAAUCUUAAUUUCCCUGAUUCUAUUCCUGAAUCUCUCUUAAUUUGGACCGUCUGAAAAAUUAAAUCCUAAAUGAACUAGUCUGAUUAAUUAUAUUAGUGACACCCUCUAUAAACUAUACAUAAGAGUUAUCUUGUGAUGGAAAAAAAUAUAACAAUGAUCCUAUAAAUAAAUAAUUUAGUCGCUGUAUUUGGUUUCAAAUUAAACAAUUUAGAUUAUAAGAUGAUUAAGGUCAAUUCAAAAUUAUACUAUCUUAAUAUUCUUUUUAAAAUUAUAUUUUUAUUGAUUAUUUAAAUUAUAUUUUGACCCAUAUAACCCAAUAAUUAUAUCCAAUAUUUUCAUUUGUCUUGUUAUAGGUCGUUGCGAUACUAACAGUAUAAAUUAUGGAUGGGUAAAACACUAAAUUGUGCACCAUCUCAAACACACUCCAGCAAGAGAGAGCGACGACAACAAUCAUGGGUUCUGAAACAGUGCCAAAAAUUCCUGUUGUUCAUUUGUCCAAGGAAAACUUCGAGCCUGGCUCUAGUUCCUGGCUGGCGGCUUGCAAUGAUAUCCGGCGAGCACUUGAGGAAUACAGCUUCUUUGAAGUAGUAUACAGCGAACCUUCAAUUGAACUUUACAGGGAAAUUAUAUCGGUGCUAGAGGAAUUGUUCAAUCUCCCUGAUGAAACAAAAACCAGAAAUACACAUCCUAAGAUCGGCCACGGUUACAUGGGGAAAAUCUCUGGCUUCCCUGAGGGCUUGGGGAUCGAGUAUGCAACAAAGAAAGAUGAAUGUCAAAAAUUUACAAGCUUAUGUGGCCCGAUGGAAAUGAAAGAUUCUGGUAAGAUCUGCAUAUUAUUAUAUUAUGAUUAAAUAUUUCUCUUUUUCCUUUUCCUUCGACCGAUCAUCUGAAUCCUUGCAUAUAGCUGUAUCCUCCUAUGCUAACAUUAAUGUGAGCUUAAUUAGUAUGAUUUACUUGCUUUUUGUUUGUAUCUUUAGUGAUGUCAUCCACUCUUAUACGAAGAUAGCAUCUGAACUAAAUCAGAUGCUGGUAAGGAUGUUGUUUGAAAGCUAUGGAUUGAAGAAAGACUACGAGCCUCUCCUAAACUCAACAAAUUACCUCCUACGUCUGUUGAAAUAUGGAAGAUCACUCGGGGAGACGAAUGUUGGUUUUAAGGCUCAUAUGGACAAGACUUUCUUCACUCUACUUUAUCAAAAUCCUGUUAACGGUUUAGAGAUAAGAACCAAGGAAGGAGAGUGGAUUACGUACGAGCCUUCUUCACCAACUUCAUUUGCUGUCAUAGCUGGUGAUGUAUGCAUGGUGGGUUUAUCCUAUUUCUUAUUUUACAAGAUUCCUAUUUCAAACGAUACACACACACACACUUAAUGGAUUCAUAACUCUUGAUCAUGAAUUGUGUUGUUUGAAUAGAAAAUCUUGGUUGGUGUUGUGUAGGCAUGGAGCAAUGACAGGAUAAAAUCUUCUUACCAUCGAGUCGUUGUAAGCAGCGAAGAAGACAGAUAUGCACUGGGGUUAUUCACAUUCCUAGAUGGGGUGGUGCAAACAGCAGAGGAGCUAGUAGAUGAUGAACACCCAUUACAGUACAAGCCCUUUGAACACCUGAAGCUUCUUGAUUUCUAUGAAUCAUCCAAUGAUCCGGAUAAACGUGACAUCAAUAUCAUGAAAACCUUCUGUGGUGUUUAAUACUCUAAAAUGGAAUGGGAUUAUGCUGCUUGACAUGUCUCCUUUUCUUUUGUUUUUCCUCGGUCGAUUGCUUUAAACCAGUCUUAUUUGUACCUCUUGGGUGAAUCUCUAAAAUGUAAUGGGAUUAUGCUGCUUGACAUGUCUCCUUUUCUUUUGUUUUUCCUCGGUCGAUUGUUUUCAACCAGUCUUAUUUGUAUCUCUUGGGUGAAUGAAGUGUUUAAUUAUUUGGUGAAGGCCAGGAGUCAUGUUCUACCUUGGGAUUAUUGAUCUUGUUUGCAAACAACUUUUAAUUUUGCGAUUAGAUCUCUGAAGUUUCAGAAAUUCUAAAUUUAAGCCCUUCCAUCAAUAUCUUUCUAUAUUGUUGUAGGAAUUAUUUAUUGCAGAGAAUAUUUAAGCCCUUCCAUCAAUAUCUCUAAAAAUAUUUGAAUAAUUUGAUAAAAAUUAACAUUACCAGAAAUUCAACUAAAACCAUCAGAAUUACCGACGCAAUUUUUCUAUUGGUAAUUUACGUCCAUCAGUUCAAUAAGACCCCAACAAAUUUGAGUCCAACAAAAGCUUUAGCCAAUUCAAGUCCAGUAAAGAUCUUGGAAGAUUCCUUUAAAUUCAACCCUAUUAAUUAGAAAAUCCAACUCUGUCAACAUAAAUGAGAGUCAACUCUUUAAUCAGGAAGAUCCAAGAAAAUUCAACCUACUACUCAAGAAAUUCAACCCUACCAUCAGGAAUUAGCGUCAACCUUACAAUCAAGAAGCUCCAUGGAAAUUCAGCCUUAUUAAUCAGGAAAUUCAAACAUGCCAUCAAGAAACAAUGGCAACUUUAUAAUCAUGAAGCACAAAGAAAAUUCAACCAAGAAAAAGUGAACCUUGCAAGCAAGAAGCACCAUAAUGUUUAGCCAGCCUUGUGCGGCGUCGCGGAGAUCGUCCACCCUUAAAAAAAUGGAAAUGGGUCUAUCUGGAAAAUAUAGAGACACAAAGAAUUUUUGUCUUUAUCAGUAAAAUAUGGAUUGGGAGUCGCCACCUAGUAUUCUAGUCACUAGAAAUCCUAACUGGUCUUAGAGAUCAGGUAUGAACACUGGUUGCGUAAAGGGAAGGUACUAGCACCCCAACUACGCCCUACCUAAGGUAAGGUGCAUUGUUUUGUCAGAUAAAAUCUAAAGUCUUGUUGUGGUUUCUAAUUGUCGGUCCGUUUACGGUUUAAGAAAAGUCCUCAUCUGAAAGGAGAUCCUUACCUUAUCGGGUAAAAACCUAACUACUCUAAGUCAUCAAAAGAAAAUACCUUUUUAAUAUCGGGUGUACGUUUUAUGUAUAAAUUCAUAAUUCUUGAUACUAAAACAAAACAAAAUAAAAAUUUUGUUGUUUUUGAAAAUUUGGCCAAUGUUCUCUAGACUUUAAUAAACUGGUUAUUAAAGCCAAAAUGUAUGCUUAAACAUUGUUUUUUGGUGUAUGAAAAACAACAUGAUAUGAUUAUUUUUAGCUUUGAGACACUUGGCUGCAUGCAUAGAAAACAUUAUUUUUUCUUCUUUUCAAAUUUGUUUUUGUAUUUUGAAAGUUUUGACAAAAACCAGGUAUUUUAAUACCGAAUUUUGUAUUUUUUCAAAAUAAAAUAUAGACUGAUAUUAAGCAAUAGGACAUAGAAAAUACAUUGGAAAAUUGUAAAAUCCCAAAAAAUAUUUGUUAAAUGUGUUUUUUUUAUUCUAGAAAUGGACUACUCCCGACCCAAAUCAGUGGGCUGUGCUAGGCUGGAUUCAGCCCAAAACUAAAGGGGUUAGUUACUGUGCGUAAGCACAGAAACCAGGCCCUACCUCAUUUGCUGGUAAGGGCGAAGCAAGAAUAAAAUAAACAGGGCAUCAGGAGGUUACCUGGGGUGGUGCAGCUUGAGCGUGGCCGUUAGUGGCGGUGACAUGGCAACCUCUCCCCUGUUUUCUCUCUUCUUCUGUCCAGAGGCAAGAGCCUUUUUUUUCUUUUCUUUCUUCUUCUACUCUAAGAGUUGCUGCUAGUGGUGGCAAUGGAGAGGAGGCGCAAUGGUGGCGCUGCUGGGUUAAAGGUGGCCGGUGGUGGUUCUUCUUCUACUCCAAUUCCCCAAACAUUUCAUCCUAAUAUGCUUCAAACAAAAUUAGACAGCAGGUUCGUCUUCAUAUUAGGGGUGUCUUCCAAUUCUAUCUACCCGGCCUUAAUUAAUUGUAGAAACUUUCUCUUGAAGGCGUUGCAGGUAUGGAUGUUAUGCCUAGCAAUACCAGCAUGGUAUUCACAAUUGAGUUCUAGCUUGUACCAAUUAGGAUAAGGUGGCUGUAGAGGUGUCAGAGGUUUUAGAGCAAUCUGCCUGAUGCUCAAUAGCUUUUGAUACAUCUCAUUCAGGGCUAGCGAUAGUGGAGGUAGUUACCUUUAUGGGAAUUUGCUUAUUUUAGAUGAUUUAAAUUUCAUUGAAAAAUUAAAUUAAUACAUUUAAAAGAAUUUCCAACAGAACAACUAAUUUAAUCCUAUAACUGAAUUCAAUUCACAAUAAAGAAAAUCUUCUUACCAUCGAGUCUGUAAGAAGGAAGCCCUUUUCCUUCUCCUUUCAACCGACAAAGCUCCCCUGCACUCUCUUUUCCCUGCCGCCAACCUCCAAACCACAACAGCCACACAUUGUCCCCACACACUUCGCCUCCAGCCGCUACCUCGCAGGUACGUCUUGCAAACUUUGAGAAUAUAUUCACAUGGUUUCUUAUCUUUAAUUGCGAUUAACUGUGAUGCUUGUGGUUUUUGACAAAAAAAUAUAAAAAUAUGUUUUUGUGUGUUGCAUACGGCCAAUACCCUAACAUGUUUUUUUAAUGUCUUAAAAAAAAAACAAAUAUUUGAACUUUCAAAAUUGUGUUUUCGCAUGGAUUUCUUAAACACAACAAAAAAAUUAUUUUCUUGCAUUUCUGGAUUUUACAACAUGUUUGUAAAACUCCAAAGGGUAUUGACCAAUAUUCCAAAAAAAUACAAAAAUCUUAUUUUGGGGGGAAUUCAUUUAUUAUUCACCGUUAAUGUUUGGAUAAAGAAAUCCCAAAGGGAUGAAUAUCCAAAAUAUUAUUAGGAAUAACUUGUUAUUAUUUACUGUUAAUAUUUGGAUAAAAAAGCCCUAAGCGGUAAAUAUCUAAAAUAAUUUUCUAGGAAUAAUAAGUCAUCAAACAUCCUUGAAAAAAGCCUUGAUUAUAAUUGAGGACAUUUUAAUUUUACUCCACGGUUUACGAGCCAUGAGAAUAUGAAACACUAAGGCAAAAAUAGGCUUUUAAAGUGCCUUGAAUUUCCUUAGAUUUCUAAUUUUUUUGUCCCUCCUCCUUGUGAUUUACGAGUCGCAAAACUCUUGAAAAACUAAGGGAAAAUUGAGCUUUCGAAGCACAUGGAAUCUCCUUGGAUUACUAUCCUAAUAAAUUUAGGUUGAAUCAAACCUAGAAAAAUUGAUGGGAUUACAAAACAUCAACACCGUAGCAAUUAUAAAGCAAACCAAACACUAAACAACUUACCUUAGGUAGGGCGUACUAGGGGUGCUAAUACCUUCUCUUUACGCAACUAGUCCCUUGCCUUAGAAUCUCUGAAAGACCAGUUAGGGUUCCUAGUGACCAAAAUACUAGGUGCUGACUCCAAAGAACCAAUCAAGCAAAAUAAUAAACGAAAAAAUCACCAUCGGAUGCCGCAUGGGUGACGUACGACAGAAUGACGACUCCGUUGGGACCUUAGACUAAGCUUGGUAAUUGUUUUUUUUUUAUGCUAUGUGUUGUUUUUUUUUUAAUUAUGAAUGAUACUUUGUUUAAAAGCUUUAAAAUGCAUCUAUACAUUAUGUCAUACAUGGUGUAGUCAUUCAUCACUUUAUUAUUAUUUUCUUUUUUGAGGGCACACACAUUAAAUUUUAAGUUAAGUGGGGGACUAAUAGCUUGCCUUGAUUGAGUCAAAGUUUAAGUUUGUGUAAACCCUAACGCUUUGUUGAGUGUUUAGACUGAUAGUGAUUGGUACAAGUGCCAUCCCACUAUCUGCUGAACCCCUAUAUUGCCUUUACGAGGGUGAUCACUAGGACAACAAGAGACUCUCGUUUAGAGACCAAGUAGUAAACCUACCCAAUGUCUCACAUAAAGGAACUAGAACCUAUCCUUAGGAUGUAUGCUCCAUAAUAUCUUUUUGCAUCCAACAAGCCUAAGCUCAAAGCAUCUUGAAUCUCAAGACUUCAUUCAAAAGCUAGCCAAGGGAGAGAUGUUCCAGAAUUGGGAGACCCAAAAAGUUCCAUUGGUUUCAAAAUUUAAUCAACAAUGCUUGUUUAAUCAUGAUAUUGUGUUGUUUGCCUUUUUCAACUUUUUAAAUCGAGGUUCCAAAUGUUAAUGGGAUUUUUAUGCUUUUCUUUUAGCCAACCUUUUCCUUUUAAUGAGAUCAUGUAUUUUCAAAAGUUCAUCUUGGUGUUUUUACACAUCACUUUCCUUUUCAAAGUGAAUCUUCCAUAACUACACCUACACUUUACACUGAGAAUGAAUUGCCAAACGUUAAAGAAUACAUAUUAGUUGUAAAAGAGGAAGAAUGGUAGGAAAAUAACAUUAGGGGAUUCAAAAAAAUUAAUAACAUGAACAAGCUUGGAUCAGGAAUUAGAAAAUCCAACUCUGUCAACAUAAAUGAGAGUCAACUCUUUAAUCAGGAAGAUCCAAGAAAAUUCAACCUAUUAGUCAAGAAAUUCAACCCUACCAUCAGGAAUUAGCGUCAACCUUACAAUCAAGAAGCUCCAUGGAAAUUCAGCCUUAUUAAUCAGGAAAUUGAAACAUGCCAUCAAGAAACAAUGGCAACUUUAUAAUCAUGAAGCACAAAGAAAAUUCAACCAGAAAAAGUAAACCUUGCAAGCAAGAAGCACCAUAAUCGUCCACCCUUAAAAAAAAUGGAAAUGGGUCUAUCUGGAAAAUAUAGAGACACAAAGAAUUUUGGUCUCUUAUCAGUAAAAUAUGGAUUGGGAGUCGCCACCUAGUAUUCUAGUCACUAGGAACCCUAACUGGUCUCAGAGAUCAGGUACGAACACCGGUUGCAUAAAAGGAAGGUACUAGCACCCCAACUACGCCCUACCUAAGGUAAGGUGCAUUGUUUUGUCAGAUAAAAUCUAAAGUCUUGUUGUGGUUUCUAAUUUUCGGUCCGUUUACGGUUUAAGAAAAGUCCUCAUCUGUAAGGAGAUCCUUACCUUAUCGGGUAAAAACCUAACUACUCUAAGUCAUCAAAAGAAAAUACCUUUUUAAUAUCGGGUAUACGUUUUAUGUAUAAAUUCAUAAUUCUUGAUACUAAAACAAAACAAAAUAAAAAUUUUGUUGUUUUUGAAAAAUUUGGCCAAUGUUUCUCUAGACUUAAUAAACUGGUUAUUAAAGCCAAAAUGUAUGCUUAAACAUUGUUUUUUGGUGUAUGAAACACGAUAUUAUUUUUUUAGCUUUGAGACUGGCUGCAUGCAUAGAAACAUUAUUUUUUCUUUUUUCAAAAUUUUUUGUUUUUGGAAGUUUGAAAAAACCAGGUUUUAAUACCAGAUUUUUAUUUUUUCAAAAUAAAAUAUAGACUGAUAUUAAGCAAUAGGACAUAGAAAAUACCGAGAAAAUUGUAAAAUCCCAAAAAAUAUUUGUUAAAUGUGUUUUUUUUUAUUAUGGAAAUGGGCCGCACCCGGCCUAAAUCAGUGGGCUGUGCUAGGCUGGAUUCAGCCCGAAACUAAAGGGGCUAGUUACUGUGUGUAAGCACAGUAACCAGGCCCUACCUCAUUUACUGGUAAGGGCGAAGCAAGAAUAAAAUAAACAGGGCAUCAGGAGGUUACCCGGGGGUGGUGCAGCCUGAGCGUGGCCGUUAGUGGCGGUGACAGUGGCAACCUCUCCCCUGUUUUCUCUUCUUCUGUCCAGAGGCAAGAGCUUUUUUUUUUUCUUUUCUUUUCUUCUUCUGCUCGAAGAGUUGCUGCUGGUGGUGGCAAUGGAGAGGAGGCGCAAUGGUGGCGUUGCUGGUUAAAGGUUGCCGGUGGUGGUUCUUCUUCUACUCCAAUUCCCAAACAUUUCAUCCUAAUAUGCUUCAAACAAGAUUAGACAGAAAGUUCGUCUUCAUAUUAGGAGCGUCUUCCAAUUCUAUCUACCCGACCUUAAUUUUUAGAAACUUUCUCUUGAAGGCGUUGCAGGUAUGGAUGUUAUGCCUAGCAAUACCAGCAUGGUAUUCACAAUUGAGUUAUGGCUUGUACCAAUUAGGAUAAGGUGGCUAUAGAGGUGUUAGAGGUUUUGGAGCUAUCUGCCUGAUGCUCAAUAGCUUUUGAUACAUCUCAUUCAGGGGUAGCGGUAGUGGAGGUAGUUGUUCUUGAACCCUUUGGUAAUUUCCAAUUUGGCUUUUAGCUUGAAAGUUUUGGGGUUCAUGAUUUUUUAUAUUGGCAAUUUGGGAUGGUGUGGUAGUUUUGGGAUGUUUUUCCUACCCUUGUAGCCAUCUUAACAUGAUGGACCUCUUUUCUCGAUGGGUGCAAAAAUUCUAGCACUUUUGACACCUUGCUCUAUGCAUUCACACACUACCACAACAUCAGUGAAUUGCUGGGCCGAACUACCCAUCACAUGUUCGUAAUAGGAUGCUUUGAGUGUGUUGGCUAAUAAAGAGACCAUCUUUUAUCUAAAAGUGGAGGAUGUACUUGAGCAGCUGAUUCCCGCCAUCUUUGAGCAUAUUCCCUUAUGCUUUGUCCUUUUUCUCUAGAUUGGACAAGUUGGUUUUGUCGGGAGCGAUGUCCAUGUUAUACUUGUAUAGCUUGACAAAAGCAUCCACCAGAUCUUUCCAGCUCUGAAUUUUUGUGUUGUCCAAUCUCAUGUACCAGCUCAAUGUUGCCUAACUUAAGCUGUCUUGGAAAAAGUACGUACUACUUCUGCCAUUUUAUUGCAAUAGGACUUGAGGUGAGUUAUAGGGCAUUGUGUUCCACUAUAUUUGAUGAACUCAGGAACACAAAACUUCUUUGGAAAAACCACGUUUGGGACCAAACACAUCUCUACUGCCCGUACCGGGUCAUAUAAGUCUACCCCAUUAAUGACUUUGAGUUUCGCUUCUAGUGCCUUUAUCUUAGCUUGAUCAAUGCUAUUAGAUGGCUUGGCCUUGUGGGACUGGUUAGCAGAUGCCUCCAUGGUUGUCGGGGCUGGUGCAGGUGUUACUGACUGCACAAAUGUUGGAUUUUCCUAAGGCUCUUGACCAUGUUCACACAUUCUUUCUUCAGGCUGAACUAUAGUAGGAGCCGGAUUAAAGGUGACGGUGGAUUAGAAGGACCUUCACCAAAGGUAUUUCUCAGUGUUUUGCUCGAGUAAGCUAGUGAGGUGAGCCACACUUGUUUUUAGAGACUCCAUCUUUUCUUGGAAAUAGGCAUCACGUUGAGUACGCUCUUCAACUUUCAUGCUUCUCGCUCUAAGUCGGAUGUUAUAGACUUUUUGGGGACCUAUUUUUCAAUCUGAUGCAUGUAUGUUAAAUGUAUGAAUAUGUAAUUUAUAUGAUAGACUUUCCCUUCGAGAGGUGACAUAUGAUCGUAACUCUUAUAUGAUGAAACAAGAAUCUUGAUUCUUGCCCACACUCUACAAUGAAAAUUUUAUGAGUGAUGAUCAUUAUAUCACCCGUAAGUCUUGAGUUCAAGAUGCUUCAAUAAGGGUUUGCCUUGUUGUAAAUAAAGAUAACACAUACAACCUAAGGACAUGUUCUAUUUAUUAUGUGAACAUGGGUAGGUUUUCUACCUGGUCUCAAAAGGGUCUCAUAUCUACUUAGUGAAGAUCUUCGUAAAGACAGUAUAAAGGCAUUGCGAGAAAUGAUUAAGGCACGUAUACCCACCAUUACCAAGCAGGCACUCAGAUAUGAGUUGGUUGUUUCACGCAUUUGAACCCUAACCAAUGGUCAUAGGGCAGAUCGCUAGUUCCCCACUUAACUUAGAAGCUUGUGUGUGCUUGCUUGCCAAAAAAUUAAAUCAUAUGAUGCAUGAGGCAAUUCUAUAUAAUGCAUGAACAAAUAUGUACAGAAAUUAAAGCGCAUAAGAAAUAAAUAAAGAAAAUGCAUAUUUCAAUAAACACGCAAACCACAACAAUAACACAAAAAUCACACAAAACAAAGCUUAGUCCACAAGCUUCCUAGUGAAGUCGCCAUUCUGUCGCACGUGUGCGGCAUCGUGGCGAUCGUCCACUCUCAAGGAAAAUGGAAAUGGGUCUAUCUGGAAAAUAUAGAGAUAAAAGGAAUUCUUGUCUCUUAUUAGUAAAAUAUAGAUUGGGAGUCGCCACUUAGUAUUUUGGUCACUAGGAACCCUAGCUGGUCUUAGAGAUCAAGUAUGGACACUGAUUGAGUAAAGGAAAUGUAUUAGCACCCCAACUACGCCCUACAUAAGGUAAGCUGCAUUGUUUUGUCUGAUAAAAUCUAAAGUCUUGUUGUGGUUUCUAAUUGUUGGUCCGUUUACGGUUUAAAAAAAGUCCUCAUCUAUAAGGAGAUCCUUACUUUAUCAGGUAAAAACCUAACUGCUCUAAGUCCUCAAAUGAAAAUACCAUUUUAAUAUUGGGCAUAUGUUUUAUGUAUAAAAUUGUAAUUCCUGAUACUAAAACAAAAUAAAAUAAAAAUUUUGUUGUUUUUUAAAUUUUGGCCAAUGUUCUUUUGACUUUAAUAAACUUGUUAUUAAAGCCAAAAUAUAUGCUAAAACAUUAUUUUUUGGUGUAUGUAAAACACGAUAUGAUUAUUUUUAGCUUUGAGACACUUGGCAGUAUGCACAAAAAACAUGUUUUUUUUCUUCUUUUCAAAUUUUUUUGUAUUUUGGAAGUUUUGAUGAAAACCAGGUAUUUUAAUACUGGAUUUUGUAUUUUUUUUAGAUAAAAUAAAGACUGAUAUUAAGCAAAAUUACAUAGAAAAUACGCGAGAAAAACUGUAAAAUUCCAAAAAAUAAUUGUUAAAUGUGUUUUUUUUAUUCUAGAAAUGGGCCGGACCUGGCCCAGAUCAGUGGGCUGGGCCGGAUUCGACCCAAGGAAUUAUUCAUGUUUUGCAUGCAAAUGGAGGCAAGGGUGAAGCAAGAAGAAAAUAAACAGGGCAGCAAGAGGUUACCUGGCGUGGUGCAGCCUAAGAGUGGCUGUUAGCGGCGAUGACGGUGACAAUGGCAGCCUUUCCCCUGUUUUCUCUUCUUAUGUGCAGAGGUGAAAGCCUCCAUUUUUUUUCUUUUCUUUUAUUUUUCUGUUCGACGAGCUGCUACUGCUGGUGGAAAUGGAGAGGAGGCGCAACGGUGGCGCUGCUGGGUUGAAGGUGGCCGACGGUGGUUCUUCUUCUUCUUCCUCUGUUUUUCUCCCUUUUUUAUGUCUUUCUGUUUUUGUUCUCUCUUUUUCUCUCAAUUUUCCUUUUUUUUUUCUUUCAAUCUCCAGACCUUCUUUGCUCUUUUGUCUUUUUUCUUAUCCUCCCCUGUUUUUAUAGGAAAAAACAGGGAGCGACGUGGCUCGGGCGGCCAUUAUGCUGCCGCCCCAUGAUUGCACGAUGGUCAUGUUCCCUCCUUUUUUUAAUGCCCAUGGUAGGCCACGGGUAGGUUAUACACGUGGGGCUAUGGUCGACACCUUUUUAUGCUUUUAAGGAAGAGAAGUUGGAGACAGAGGAAGAAAAAUCUUCUUCUUCCCCUGCUUCGUGCAUCCAGGGGAAGAAGAAGACCCACAUUGCCGUCAAAACAACACCGUUUUAGGUUUUUCCUUUAUUGUUUUUUUGUUUUUUUGUUUUUUGUUUCAUGAACAGUGCAUGAAACGGCACCGUUUUGAACAAAACGCGCCGUUUAAUUUAAAAGGAAAAGGCGGCAAAAACAUGUCAGAGUUCAGAUUGGUCCUUAAUUUGUGAUUUGUUCAAUCAAGUCCUCAAUUGCAAUUUUGAUUUAAUUAACAAUGCAAUUGCAUCCCUGCCAAAAAUCAAACAGCGAACCUAAAGUUAGCCACCUUUUUCACUUUGGUCCUUGGUCUUGAAUUAGUGCAAUUGGACCCUCAAUUGAGCAAUAAACUUCUAAUUUCUUCAAUUUAGCUCAUGAUCUGGUUUAAUUACAGCCCCUCUAUUUACGCAUCUUUUCCAAUUUGGUCCGUGGUUUUGAAUUUCUUCAAUUAAGUCCAUAAUUGGCCAUCAAACUUCAAUAUUUAUGCAAUUAAGCCUCUGAUUUGACCAAAUUAAAUCUAAAAAAAUUUAAUUUGAUGUCAGAACUUUAAUUUCCUCCAAUUAAAGCCCAAAUUAACUCAAAAAUCAUUUUUUGUUGCAAUCAAAACCUCCAUAAAUUCAAUUAAACCUUCAAUAAAAUUUAAUUGAGUCCAUAAACAUUUAAUUUUGGAAUUUUCUUUGUCAACAUGGCUCUCAUCAGUCAAUAAAAUACUGUCAAAUUUUAAUCUUUGUAUUCUUAAACCUCCUGAUCCAAUUUUUGACUAUUUUCUGAGCACUUUGGCAUCCUCUCAUGCUAUUAUUUUUUUGAUAAUAUUUUAUUAUUAUUUUAUUUUAUUUUAUUAUGUUUUAUGCGGAUACCCAAAAAUAGGUUACAACAUGCUUCAGAAUUUCUGAUUCAGAUUAUUGAGUUUCCAUACAUUUUUGCACAACUUGUAGCCUAUAGCAUCAUAGUCUAUUCAAUGACAUGAUUUGAAUGGACUGUUGCUAAAUUCUUGUGGUAUCUGUUCAGCUUUUAUGGUAUCUAUUGAAUGCACAUUAUUGCAGUUGCACCAAAUCACCACAUUGCUGCCAUAUUUCCUCAGCUACAUGUGAUUAUAAAGACAUGCUUGACAGUGGAAGAUCUUAUGGGAAUUUGCUUAUUUUAGAUGACUUAAAUUUCAUUGAAAAAUUAAAUUAAUACAUUUAAAAGAAUUUCCAACAGAGCAACUAAUUUAAUCCUAUAACUGAAUUCAAUUCACAAUAAAGAAAAUUUUCGAUAUGCAGUGGAAGAAGAAUUGAAAAGGCCCAGUAGUUUACAAUUUAAAGAGGUUUAAUUCGUGGGUAGCUAGCCUAUGUUCAUGUGCUAGGCAGAGCCGAAUCUUAAGUUUUCUUUUUGGGACUUCUUGAAAGACGAGGACAUGUUUCUUAAUUGAAUAGGGCACCACUUCUAGGACAAGGCCGAAUAGAUGGUGAUGGAUGAAAUGUAUGCAUAUUAAAGUAAAUAAAAAAUCAAAUCAAUUAAAUAUUAAUAAAUAAAAACAAAUUUAAUUAAACAAAUAACAAAAUUAGAACCCACCUCAAAAUAACUUAUGAUUCGGGUUAUAAGAUUAUAAUAGCUUUAUAAAAAACAUAUUGAAAUAAAUUAUGAAGUUUAAUUCGUAAAAAACUUAAUAUAGAUGAAAUUGAAAAUAAAAAUUAAAUAUUUAAUAAAAAAAACAAGUCAUCACAAUUCUAAUAAACAAGGGUAAAAGUGAAUUCUGUUUAUUAUAAUUAUAAUAUCAUAUGUAUAUAUUUAAGAUAUUGUGAACAAUAAUGUAAGGUUAUAUGUGGUAAAUAAAUAUGUAGUUAAAUAAUUAAGAGUUAUAAAUAACCUUAAACAAUAGAUUAAUAAAUUAAAAAUAUCUUUAGAUAUAUAAAAUUAUUAUAUAUACUGUAACACUGAAUACAAGAAUAAUUAGGCAUCAAGAAUUUUAUGCCAAGAAAAGAUUCCAAAUAACUUUGGCAUAAUAUGGACCACUUUGCAUCUAACUAUAAAUUUAUAUGAUAUUGGGAAAAUAAUAAAUUAUCUCCUUAGUUUCAAUACCUCAACAAUGACCCGUUAAUUAAUUUUAUAAUGUAAAAUUAAUAACAUAAUCACCACUAUGAAUCAAGGACCAUUACUUUUUUAUUCUUAGGGACCAGAUUUUGACCCUUCAAAUACAACAAUCAAAGCAUACGCAUUGGUGCACAUCUUGUCUUUGAUUUCAUAUAUAUUAAAAAAAAAUUGUGCCUAUAUAUAUAUAUUAUAUACACAUCCUUGCUCAAUCGGGGCCUACUUUCUUAUAUUUAUUAUUUUUAACGUUAAGGACCAUAUUUUUUUUUAUUUUCUAUGGAAUCAGGGACCACAUUUAGACCCUUCGCUACAAUUUAAAUCUCAUUGAGUAUAUAAUUAGAGAGAUACAAAUAUAUAUAUCUCCUUCCACUGCCUCAAUAAUGAUAUCAUAAUUGUCUAUUUUGGUUGAUGAGGUGUACCAAGAUUGAAUGGGAAACUUAACGUUAUUAUUACAUUCCAUCCAUUUCAAUCUACAUCAUAAAAAGCUUUGUAAUUGAUAUUUUACCUGCUCCAUGCAAUAAAUAAUAAUUAAAAAUUUAACGACUUCAUCAAACCUUUUUAUGAUAUAGAUUCAAUGAAUGGAAAUUCAAUAUAAGGUUUAAAAACUUUUAUAUGAUUAAAAGUUAUAUUAGUUUUUAAAGCAUUUUGGUCGUUGAUAGUAUUUUAUAAUUUUAGGUUAUUAAUGAAAUUUGAUAAUUUAACUAUGAGUUUCAUUGUAAAACUCAUGUUCUAGAUAACUUAGUUAUAUGACUCACGCGAUGCUACGGGUCAAUUUUUUUGCAUAAAAAAUAUCAAAAUAUACUAAGAUCUAAGAAUGUUAGGUCUUUCUACAAAGAUAUAUUCAAAAGCCUUGGGUCUAGCUACAAUGCUUGACCCAAUACUACUAUUUAUAAUAUUAAUAAUAAUAUUAAAUUUACAUGACUUAAGUUUAAGUGAGCCUGACUGCAACACCGAACCCAAGAGCAUUGGAUGUGGGUCUGGCUAUAAGGUCGUGUCAUAAAAGUGUGAUAAUUAAAUAGAUUAAUUAAAAAGAAAAAAAGCUCAAUAGGAAGAAAAAAACUAAUGAAGAAAAAGAAAAAAAGUUGAAUUAACUGGGUUAACCCGUCAAACCUGGGAUUCGCAUAAUGAAAGUUUGAUAACUAAAUAGAAAAAAAAAUAUUGACGGGUUUACCUAGAAUUAAUUGAGUUAACCUGUCAAACCAAGUUAACCCGUCAAGCCCGGAAUAUGUGUCAUGAAAGUCUGAUAAUUAAAUAUAAAUAAAUUUAACAUUAACAAACUAAACUAAAUGAAAAAAAUUAAUUAAAAAGAAAAAAAAUCCAGGUUAACCCGUCAAAUCAGGUUAACCCAUCAAACCCGGGAUCUGUGUUAUGAAAGUCUGAAAACUAAAUAAAAAAAAACAUUUAACAUUAAAAAACUAAAUUAAACAAAAACAAUUCAUUAAAAAAAAAAAACAGUUUAGGUUUCAUUUACUUUUUAGUAUAUUCUAUAAUAUAAUUAUAAUUAUAAUAUAAUAAAUAUAAUAAUAUAAUAAUAUACUAUAUUAAAAAUGAAAAAAGUGAAAGGCAUAGGGAAAACUACAGUACUUUUCCCAUGUCUUUUAGAGUAUUUAUUAAUUCAUUAUCAGCUUUAUAUUUUUAUUAUUAUUUAUAUAUAUGACGUGGGAUUUGUAGCUCACAAGUAAUAAUAUGUAUAAGAAAAAAUUAAUAAUAUAUUAAAUAUUAAAUCAUGAUUUCAGCAUCAAAUGAUGUUGUUGAUGAAAUCAUUUUAAUCCCACCAACAUUAAUUCUAUCUUAUGCAAAAUAAGUACUUUAAGUUAUUAUGUAAAUCAUCAUAAUUGUUUUAUUGAUUAUUGGGUUAGAUCUGAUGCACUUAUAUGGAAUGAGUUUGGUUCAAGAUUUUUUUUAUUUUGGUUAAAAUAUUGUUCUAUUUUGGACUCUUUACAAUCAUUUUCAACUAUUUUUGUUUAUUAAAUAUUUUAAUUAAUAAUAAUUGUUAUCAAAAUCUCAAACAGGUCUAAAUAUUAUACCAGAAGGGGAACACAUCAUGCACCUCCUCUCCUUAGGUCUUCUUAUCUAACAUUUUGAUAAAAUUUAAUUAUAUUUGCUUAUUUAGGACCAUAUAUAUAUAUACAAAUAAUUUUGAGAGGAAUAUCAAAUUUAAGAGGCCACUUAACUUGAUGGUGACGCCGCCCUAAACUUAAUUGUCCUAUCGUCUGUUGGUGAUUUAUUUAAGGAUGCAACUUGCAAAAUUAUGACUCUGUGUGAUAAAACUUUUGGCCUCUUACCUGAAUUUUUGAUAGGCAAAAUCUCAAUUAGUAUCUCCAAUGUGUAUGACCAUACAAGAACGCCAAAUAUAAAAAUGUAUUUUAAGAACCAUAAGCGAAAGCAUAUGAUAUAAUUAAUUACAGUUAAACCUUUAUAAAUUAAUAUCUUCGGAUGAUAAAUAUUGAUUUCUUAAUUAAGAUAUUAUUUAUUAAUUGAUCUAUGGGACAGAAGAGGGAUACAAAAGCAAAUGGUCUAUCAAGGCUUAUUGUGGCGUCUGAAAUUAAAGGGAAAAAUGGAUUUGUACAAUAAUUAGUUGAUGCACUCUUCUGCUUGCUGUAUAAGACCUGUUUCUAUGUAUUUUGAUUCCAAUGCCAGUGUUUUUUUUUUGUUUUUUUAAAGGUUGAUUGUUUAUUUUUUUGUUUUUUUUUGUGCUUGCAUUUCAAAAUGUAUUAAUGUUGCGUACAAGAAGCAAUUUAAUUAAAGCCAUAUGUGGUUAUGGUUAGAAAACUGUUGUUGUUGAUGAUUAUUAUGAUGCCAUAUCAAUAAUCAUGUUGUUCUAUAAUCUUUCACAAGCAUGAACAUAGUCCAGGGCUGGUUCAACAUGAAGUGCUCGUUGGUCCUGUCGAGAAAGUCCAGGUUAAUUAUCCAAGUGAUUUAAUGAGCUGAAAACUAUAAAAUAUAUGGGGAAAUACAACAAAUUAAUCAUUUUAAAUGAAAAUGAGAGUCAUCCUUCCUUGCUCUCUCAAAUAGAUCAAAAAAGUAAGAUUAAUGUAUAAUCUUAGUAUUUGAUCCUAUAUUUUCUUGAGAGACAAAAAAUACAAAUUUAAAUAUAUUGAUUCAUUUUAAAUAUAUUUGGAUAUAUGAUAAGAUAUUAAAAUAAUAUAUUUUUUAUUUUAAAAAAAAUUAUUUUCAGGAUAUUAAUUACACCCUUUAUAUAUAAACUAUACAUAAGAGUUAUCUUGUGAUGCAAACAAACAUAACAAUGACCCUAUAAAUAAACUGUUUGGUCGCUGUAUUUGGUUUCAAAACUUUAAAAUAUUUAUACUUCGUACUCGCAUUGUUUACCGCAGCACUAUAUGUACUACUCAUAAAUAAAGUGCGAAUUCACGCCUCAACUACGACCGGCAAGUCAUAGCUUCAAGAUGUGCAUACCGUAUUUUUGGUUACUUAUUUGGAAUUAAAAAAAAUCGAGAAUAAUGAUAGAAUUAUAUUUGAUUAAAGUACAAAAAGACAUGUGUAUAGCAGUUAAAAUAGAAAAUAAAUGAAGAAAUAUGUAUUGUAUCUUUUUUUUUUCCCGGAAUGGUUACUAAAUACUAUCUAAAAUCACAUUUUCUCAUGGUGUUCAUAUGUAUGAUAGUUGUCAAGGCUUAGUUUAGAGUCUAAUCAGAAAAAAAAAAAUAAAAAAAGUUAUUGAAUUAUUUUAUUAAUUUGUGAGUUACUAUGUCAAUCUAUGUAAGAUAUUUUUUAAAAUAAGAUAUCGUUUUAUUUUCUUUGCAAGUCUUUUAAAGCUAGCUACUUUGUAAGUUAUUGAAUUUUUUUAAUUGAUAUUUUUUAUUUGAUUUAUUUUUAAUAUUAAAUUAGUUGAGAAAUGGAUUUUAUAAUUUAAUUUAUUUUGUUUUUUUAUAAGGUUAUUACAAUUUCAAAUAAAAAUUUAUAUUUAGAGUUUGUGCUUGAUUUUACAAAUAUAACUUUUUUCUAUAAAUAAAUAAAAAUAGUAUAUAUAGAUAAUAAAAUUAUUAAACUAAGUAGAGUUUAUAAUUUAGAUUAUAAGAUGAUUAAGGUCAAUUCAAAAUUAUAUCAUCUUAAUAUUUUUUAAAUAUUUUUUUUUAAUUAUAUUUUUAUUGAUUAUUUAAAUUAUAUUUUGACCCAUGUAACCCAAUAAUUAUAUCCAAUAUUUUCAUUUGUCUUGUUAUAGGUCGUUGCGAUACUAACAGUAUAAAUUAUGGAUGGGUAAAACACUAAAUUGUGCACCAUCUCAAACACACUCCAGCAAGAGAGAGCGACGACAACAAUCAUGGGUUCUGAAACAGUGCCAAAAAUCCCUGUUGUUCAUUUGUCCAAGGAAAACUUCGAGCCUGGCUCUAGUUCCUGGCUGGCGGCUUGCAAUGAUAUCCGGCGAGCACUUGAGGAAUACAGUUUCUUUGAAGUAGUACACAGCGAACCUUCAAUGGAACUUUACAGGGAAAUUAUAUCGGUGCUAGAAGAAUUGUUCAAUCUCCCUGAUGAAACAAAAACCAAAAAUACACAUCCUAAGAUCGGCCACGGUUACAUGGGGAAAAUCUCUGGCUUCCCUGAGGGCUUGGGGAUCGAGUAUGCAACAAAGAAAGAUGAAUGUCAAAAAUUUACAAGCCUUAUGUGGCCCGAUGGAAAUGAAAGAUUCUGGUAAGAUCUGCAUAUUAUUAUAUUAUGAUUAAAUAUUUCUCUUUUUCCUUUUCCUUCGACCGAUCAUCUGAAUCCUUGCAUAUAGCUGUAUCCUCCUAUGCUAACAUUAAUGUGAGCUUAAUUAGUAUGAUUUACUUGCUUUUUGUUUGUAUCUUUAGUGAUGUCAUCCACUCUUAUACGAAGAUAGCAUCUGAACUAAAUCAGAUGCUGGUAAGGAUGUUGUUUGAAAGCUAUGGAUUGAAGAAAGACUACGAGCCUCUCCUAAACUCAACAAAUUACCUCCUACGUCUGUUGAAAUAUGGAAGAUCACUCGGGGAGACGAAUGUUGGUUUUAAGGCUCAUAUGGACAAGACUUUCUUCACUCUACUUUAUCAAAAUCCUGUUAACGGUUUAGAGAUUAAGAACCAAGGAAGGAGAGUGGAUUACGUACGAGCCUUCUUCACCAACUUCAUUUGCUGUCAUAGCUGGUGAUGUAUGCAUGGUGGGUUUAUCCUAUUUCUUAUUUUACAAGAUUCCUAUUUCAAACGAUACACACACACACACUUAAUGGAUUCAUAACUCUUGAUCAUGAAUUGUGUUGUUUGAAUAGAAAAUCUUGGUUGGUGUUGUGUAGGCAUGGAGCAAUGACAGGAUAAAAUCUUCUUACCAUCGAGUCGUUGUAAGCAGCGAAGAAGACAGAUAUGCACUGGGGUUAUUCACAUUCCUAGAUGGGGUGGUGCAAACAGCAGAGGAGCUAGUAGAUGAUGAACACCCAUUACAGUACAAGCCCUUUGAACACCUGAAGCUUCUUGAUUUCUAUGAAUCAUCCAAUGAUCCGGAUAAACGUGACAUCAAUAUCAUGAAAACCUUCUGUGGUGUUUAAUACUCUAAAAUGGAAUGGGAUUAUGCUGCUUGACAUGUCUCCUUUUCUUUUGUUUUUCCUCGGUCGAUUGCUUUAAACCAGUCUUAUUUGUACCUCUUGUGAAUCUCUAAAAUGUAAUGGGAUUAUGCGCUUGACAUGUCUCCUUUUCUUUUGUUUUUCCUCGGUCGAUUGUUUUCAACCAGUCUUAUUUGUAUCUCUUGGGUGAAUGAAGUGUUUAAUUAUUUGGUGAAGGCCAGGAGUCAUGUUCUACCUUGGGAUUAUUGAUCUUGUUUGCAAACAACUUUUAAUUUUGCGAUUAGAUCUCUGAAGUUUCAGAAAUUCUAAAUUUAAGCCCUUCCAUCAAUAUCUUUCUAUAUUGUUGUAGGAAUUAUUUAUUGCAGAGAAUAUUUAAGCCCUUCCAUCAAUAUCUCUAAAAAUAUUUGAAUAAUUUGAUAACAAAAUUAACAUUACCAGAAAUUCAACUAAAACCAUCAGAAUUACCGACGCAAUUUUUCUAUUGGUAAUUUACGUCCAUCAGUUCAAUAAGACCCCAACAAAUUUGAGUCCAACAAAAGCUUUAGCCAAUUCAAGUCCAGUAAAGAUCUUGGAAGAUUCCUUUAAAUUCAACCCUAUUAAUUAGAAAAUCCAACUCUGUCAACAUAAAUGAGAGUCAACUCUUUAAUCAGGAAGAUCCAAGAAAAUUCAACCUACUACAAGAAAUUCAACCCUACCAUCAGGAAUUAGCGUCAACCUUACAAUCAAGAAGCUCCAUGGAAAUUCAGCCUUAUUAAUCAGGAAAUUCAAACAUGCCAUCAAGAAACAAUGGCAACUUUAUAAUCAUGAAGCACAAAGAAAAUUCAACCAAGAAAAAGUAACCUUGCAAGCAAGAAGCACCAUAAUGUUUAGCCUUGUGCGGCGUCGCGGAGAUCGUCCACCCUUAAAAAAAUGGAAAUGGGUCUAUCUGGAAAAUAUAGAGACACAAAGAAUUUUUGUCUUUUCAGUAAAAUAUGGAUUGGGAGUCGCCACCUAGUAUUCUAGUCACUAGAAAUCCUAACUGGUCUUAGAGAUCAGGUAUGAACACUGGUUGCGUAAAGGGAAGGUACUAGCACCCCAACUACGCCCUACCUAAGGUAAGGUGCAUUGUUUUGUCAGAUAAAAUCUAAAGUCUUGUUGUGGUUUCUAAUUGUCGGUCCGUUUACGGUUUAAGAAAAGUCCUCAUCUGAAGGAGAUCCUUACCUUAUCGGGUAAAAACCUAACUACUCUAAGUCAUCAAAAGAAAAUACCUUUUUAAUAUCGGGUGUACGUUUUAUGUAUAAAUUCAUAAUUCUUGAUACUAAAACAAAACAAAAUAAAAAUUUUGUUGUUUUUGAAAAUUUGGCCAAUGUUCUCUAGACUUUAAUAAACUGGUUAUUAAAGCCAAAAUGUAUGCUUAAACAUUGUUUUUUGGUGUAUGAAAAACAUGAUAUGAUUAUUUUUAGCUUUGAGACACUUGGCUGCAUGCAUAGAAAACAUUAUUUUUUCUUCUUUUCAAAUUUUUUUUGUAUUUUGAAGUUUUGACAAAAACCAGGUAUUUUAAUACCGAAUUUUGUAUUUUUUCAAAAUAAAAUAUAGACUGAUAUUAAGCAAUAGGACAUAGAAAAUACAUUGGAAAAUUGUAAAAUCCCAAAAAAUAUUUGUUAAAUGUGUUUUUUUUAUUCUAGAAAUGGCUACUCCCGACCCAAAUCAGUGGGCUGUGCUAGGCUGGAUUCAGCCCAAAACUAAAGGGGUUAGUUACUGUGCGUAAGCACAGAAACCAGGCCCUACCUCAUUUGCUGGUAAGGGCGAAGCAAGAAUAAAAUAAACAGGGCAUCAGGAGGUUACCUGGGGUGGUGCAGCUUGAGCGUGGCCGUUAGUGGCGGUGACAAUGGCAACCUCUCCCCUGUUUUCUCUUCUUCUGUCCAGAGGCAAGAGCCUUUUUUUUCUUUUCUUUUCUUCUUCUACUCUAAGAGUUGCUGCUAGUGGUGGCAAUGGAGAGGAGGCGCAAUGGUGGCGCUGCUGGGUUAAAGGUGGCCGGUGGUGGUUCUUCUUCUACUCCAAUUCCCCAAACAUUUCAUCCUAAUAUGCUUCAAACAAAAUUAGACAGCAGGUUCGUCUUCAUAUUAGGGGUGUCUUCCAAUUCUAUCUACCCGGCCUUAAUUAAUUGUAGAAACUUUCUCUUGAAGGCGUUGCAGGUAUGGAUGUUAUGCCUAGCAAUACCAGCAUGAUAUUCACAAUUGAGUUCUAGCUUGUACCAAUUAGGAUAAGGUGGCUGUAGAGGUGUCAGAGGUUUUAGAGCAAUCUGCCUGAUGCUCAAUAGCUUUUGAUACAUCUCAUUCAGGGCUAGCGAUAGUGGAGGUAGUUACCUUUAUGGGAAUUUGCUUAUUUUAGAUGAUUUAAAUUUCAUUGAAAAAUUAAAUUAAUACAUUUAAAAGAAUUUCCAACAGAACAACUAAUUUAAUCCUAUAACUGAAUUCAAUUCACAAUAAAGAAAAUCUUCUUACCAUCGAGUCUGUAAGAAGGAAGCCCUUUUCCUUCUCCUUUCAACCGACAAAGCUCCCCUGCACUCUCUUUUCCCUGCCGCCAACCUCCAAACCACAACAGCCACACAUUGUCCCCACACACUUCGCCUCCAGCCGCUACCUCGCAGGUACGUCUUGCAAACUUUGAGAAUAUAUUCACAUGGUUUCUUAUCUUUAAUUGCGAUUAACUGUGAUGCUUGUGGUUUUUGACAAAAAAAUAUAAAAAUAUGUUUUUGUGUGUUGCAUACGGCCAAUACCCUAACAUGUUUUUUUAAUGUCUUAAAAAAAAAACAAAUAUUUGAACUUUCAAAAUUGUGUUUUCGCAUGGAUUUCUUAAACACAACAAAAAAAUUAUUUUCUUGCAUUUCUGGAUUUUACAACAUGUUUGUAAAACUCCAAAGGGUAUUGACCAAUAUUCCAAAAAAAUACAAAAAUCUUAUUUUGGGGGGGAAUUCAUUUAUUAUUCACCGUUAAUGUUUGGAUAAAGAAAUCCCAAAGGGAUGAAUAUCCAAAAUAUUAUUAGGAAUAACUUGUUAUUAUUUACUGUUAAUAUUUGGAUAAAAAAGCCCUAAGCGGUAAAUAUCUAAAAUAAUUUUCUAGGAAUAAUAAGUCAUCAAACAUCCUUGAAAAAAGCCUUGAUUAUAAUUGAGGACAUUUUAAUUUUACUCCACGGUUUACGAGCCAUGAGAAUAUGAAACACUAAGGCAAAAAUAGGCUUUUAAAGUGCCUUGAAUUUCCUUAGAUUUCUAAUUUUUUUGUCCCUCCUCCUUGUGAUUUACGAGUCGCAAAACUCUUGAAAAACUAAGGGAAAAUUGAGCUUUCGAAGCACAUGGAAUCUCCUUGGAUUACUAUCCUAAUAAAUUUAGGUUGAAUCAAACCUAGAAAAAUUGAUGGGAUUACAAAACAUCAACACCGUAGCAAUUAUAAAGCAAACCAAACACUAAACAACUUACCUUAGGUAGGGCGUACUAGGGGUGCUAAUACCUUCUCUUUACGCAACUAGUCCCUUGCCUUAGAAUCUCUGAAAGACCAGUUAGGGUUCCUAGUGACCAAAAUACUAGGUGCUGACUCCAAAGAACCAAUCAAGCAAAAUAAUAAACGAAAAAAUCACCAUCGGAUGCCGCAUGGGUGACGUACGACAGAAUGACGACUCCGUUGGGGACCCUUAGACUAAGCUUGGUAAUUGUUUUUUUUUUAUGCUAUGUGUUGUUUUUUUUUAAUUAUGAAUGAUACUUUGUUUAAAAGCUUUAAAAUGCAUCUAUACAUUAUGUCAUACAUGGUGUAGUCAUUCAUCACUUUAUUAUUAUUUUCUUUUUUGAGGGCACACACAUUAAAUUUUAAGUUAAGUGGGGACUAAUAGCUUGCCUUAUGACUUGAGUCAAGUUUAAGUUUGUGUAAACCCUAACGCUUUGUUGAGUGUUUAGACUGAUAGUGAUUGGUACAAGUGCCAUCCCACUAUCUGCUGAACCCCUAUAUUGCCUUUACGAGGGUGAUCACUAGGACAACAAGAGACUCUCGUUUAGAGACCAAGUAGUAAACCUACCCAAUGUCUCACAUAAAGGAACUAGAACCUAUCCUUAGGAUGUAUGCUCCAUAAUAUCUUUUUGCAUCCAAACAAGCCUAAGCUCAAAGCAUCUUGAAUCUCAAGACCUUCAUUCAAAGCUAGCCAAGGGAGAGAUGUUCCAGAAUUGGGACCCAAAAAGUUCCAUUGGUUUCAAAAUUUAAUCAACAAUGCUUGUUUAAUCAUGAUAUUGUGUUGUUUGCCUUUUUCAACUUUUUAAAUCGAGGUUCCAAAUGUUAAUGGGAUUUUAUGCUUUUCUUUUAGCCAACCUUUUCCUUUUAAUGAGAUCAUGUAUUUUCAAAAGUUCAUCUUGGUGUUUUUACACAUCACUUUCCUUUUCAAAGUGAAUCUUCCAUAACUACACCUACACUUUACACUGAGAAUGAAUUGCCAAACGUUAAAGAAUACAUAUUAGUUGUAAAAGAGGAAGAAUGGUAGGAAAAUAACAUUAGGGGAUUCAAAAAAAUUAAUAACAUGAACAAGCUUGGAAACCUGCUAGAGAGGAGCUUGAAACCAUAGAUGUUGGCGAUGAAGAAAUCAAGAAGAGAGUUGAAGAUACGGACUUUGAUCACCCUUAAAGAAAGAGAAGAGUUGAUUGCACAACUUUGAGAUUUUGUAGAUGUUUUUGCUUGGUCCUACAAGGAUAUGCCUGGUUUGUAUAGGGUAUCACUACUAGAAGGAUGCAAAUCGGUUAAACAAAGGUUGAGAAGGACCAAUCCGAAUAAAGGCAUAAAUUGAAAAGCAGUAGAACACUGAUUUUCUAAAAAUAGUCAAGUAUCCACAAUGGGUGUCCAACAUAGUUGUCGUGCCCAAAAAGAAAGAUAAAAUCAAUUUUUGGACUUUAGGGACUUAAACCGGGCUAGCUCUAAGGAUAAUUUUCCUCUACCACACAUAGAUGUAUUGGUCGAUCCAUAUAUUACUUUAUGGAUGGAUUUUUGAGCUACAGUCAGAUGAAAAUAUCACAAUAGGAUGAGGAGAAGACAACAUUUGUAACACCAUAGGGAACCUUUUGCUACAAAAUCAUGAUAUUUAGGUUAAAGAAUGUCAGGGCCACCUACCAAAGGGCCAUGGUGGUUCUAUUUCACGACAUGAUGCAAAAGGAGAUUAAAGUAUACGUGAAUGACAUGAUCUAAAGAGGGAGAGAAUCAUGUCCAAAUAUUGCAUGAAUUAUUUGAAAGACUAAGGAAGUACAAGUUGAGGUUUAGCCAUGCAAGGUGUUCAUUCGGGGUGAAAUCUAGGAAGUUAGUGGGAUUUAUGAUGAGUGACAAAGGGAUAAAAGUGGACCCUGGUUAAGUAAAGGCUAUUCAAUCUAUGCCAACUCCCAAGACUGAGAAGGAUGUAAGGAGGUUCUUAGGAAGGUUGAAUUACAUUGCUCCGUUUAUAUCCCAAUUAACCACAACUUAUGACCUCAUCUUUAAUUGUUAAGGAAGAAGAAUCUCGAAAUUUGGAAUAAGAGUAUGAAGAAGCUUUCGCGAAAAUCAAGCAGUACCUACUGAAUCCACCCUUAUCUAUCAAGCCGAAUUGCAAAAUGGAAAGUUCUACUAGCUAAGUACAACAUAGUAUAUAUGAUAAGGAAAGCCAUGAAUGUUGUUGUAACCCAUUUUUGGGUCCCCAUGAAAAAUAAAAUAAAUAGCCAAAAAAGGUUAGAAAAAAUAACAGGAGGCAGAAGCGCUCAGAAAAUAGUCAGAAAAUUGGUCAAGGAAUUUUAAAAAUAUAAGGAUUGAAUUUUUGACAGUAUAUUCUUGAAGGAUGAAAGCCCUAUUGAGAAGGAAAUUUGAAUUUUGAGGAGAAAAGCCCAAAUUUGGAUGUUUAUGGAUUUAAUUGGAUUUUUAUUUGAAUUUAUAGAAGAUUUGAUUGCAAGAAAAAUUGAUUUUUAAGUCAAUUUGGGCUUUAAUUAAAGAAAUUUAAGUUCUGGGGCCAAAAUAUAUUUUUUAGGAAUUUAUUGGGUCAAAUCAGGGGCUUAAUUGCAUAAAUAUUGAAGUUUAAGGGCCAAUUAGGGAUUUAAUUAAGAAAAUCCGAAACCAGGGACCAAAUUGGAAGAGGCGCGUAAAUGGAGGGGCUGUUUUGCUUUGGAUCAGGGGCCUAAUUGAAGAAAUUGAAAGUUUAUUAAUCAAUUGAGGGUUAAAUUGCAUAAAUCAGAGGCCAAGGACCAAAGUGAAAAAGGCGGCCAACUAUGGGGGCGGGGACCGAUUUUGGAGGACUGAUUUGAAGUUUGCCCAUUUAAAUGAAACGGCGCGUUUUAUCCAAAACGACGCCGUUUCAUAUAUAAAAAAAAAAGAAAAAAAAAAAAGAGGAAGACCAGAACGGUGUCGUUUUGAAUGACACUGUUCAUCUUCCUCCUUCCCCCCGAAACAGAGCAGCAGAAGAAGAAAACCAUUUUCUUUUUUUUCAAAUCUUCCCGCCUCUCCCUCUUCGUCCCCACCACCUUUAAACAUUGGCCGACCAGCCGUUGUACCUCACUAACGAUGGUCCCCCAUAGUUCUGCCCCUAUAAAUAGAGAAGAAAACCGAAGAGGAGAGAGAGAGGAAACUAAAGAGAGAGAGAGACGACUGGAAAACAAAAAAAACUGGGGAGGAUGUUUUCUUAAACAGAACCGAGAAGAGAAGAGAGUGAUCACGGGUUCAACGAACCGAAAAAGAAGGAACGAAAAAACAGAGGGGAAGGGGAGAAAAAUCUUUUCUCUUCGCCGCUUGGGAACAGCCACAGCGCCGCCGUUCGCGAAGCCACGCCACCACCACGCCACCGUAGCACCGCCUCCUCCACGCCAGGUAACCUCUUCUUCCCCCUUUUCGUUAGUUUUUUUAAUUUUUUUUCCCUGCAUGCAGAAUGAACGUUUUGCAUGCAGGGGGGGAAAUAAUUCCCCCCUGAUGAUGCGUAGCUGGGCUAGGCGGAUCCUGGCCCAGCAUUUUUUUUGGGCCAGACUGAGUCUGGCCCGGCCUUGUGUUUGACGGGCCAGACCAGGUCUGGCCCAUACCAAGCUCUCUAGGCCAAGUCCGGCCCAGAUAUAUGUUUUUUUGGGGCCGAUAUCGGCCCAAUCCAUUCUAGGCCGAAAUCGACCCCAUUCUGGCUGGGCUGAGUCCGGCCCGUUUAUUUGGGCCGGCCUAGUCCGAAUUGUUUUUAUAUUAUAUAUAUUAUAUAUAUUAUAAUAUGUUAUAAUAUAUGUGUGUAUAUAUGUAUAUAUAUAUAAAAAUAUAAUAAUAAAAAAAAUAAUAUUUUAAAAAAUCUUAAAAAAAUAUUGUUGAUUUUUAUGCAUAUUUUUGUCAAAGUGGUUUAAUGUUGGUUUGUAUUUUUAUACCGUAAGGAUACAAAACCAGUGUUAAAAAUACCCGGUUUUCGUCAAAAUAUCAAAGAUUUUCAGAAUAAAAAAUGUUUUUGCUUUCAAAAAAAUUUCUAAAAAUUCCCUAAAAAUGUUGUUGAUUUUUCUGCAUAUUUUUAUCAAAGUGGAUUAAUAUUGGGUUGUAUUUUUAUACCGUAAGGAUACAAGCUCAGUAUUAAAAUACCUGAUUUUCGUCAAAAGCAUAAAAAAAUAAUAUUUUCCAAAAAAAUUUGUUUUUGUUUUAAAAUACGGCCUAGUCUCUCCAAUAUAUAUAUAAAUAUUAUAACAUCGUAUUUUCACACAACAAAGAAAAUUUUCAAAAACAAUAUAUGUAUUAACAUGUAUUUUGGCUUUAAUAACCAGUUUAUUCAAGCCAUGAGAACUAGGCCAAUAUUUCAAAAAAUUCUAAAAAAUCUUUUUGUUUUAUUUUAGUAUUUGGGAUUACGAAUUUAUACGUAAAACGUAUUCCUAAAUAUUAUUAAUAAAGUUUUGGUAUAGACGUUAGAACGGUUAGGAUUUUACCCGAUAAGAUAAAAGACCUUCUUACCGAGGAGGAUUUUUCUUGAACCAUAAACAGACCAACGACUAGAAGUAUAAUAACACCUUAGUUUUUAUCAGACAAUAAAACAAUGCAGCUUACCUUAGGUAGGGCGUAUUUGGGGUGCUAAUACCUUCCCUUUACGCAACCAGUCCCCGUACCCGAUCUCUGAGACCAGUUAGGGUUCCUAGUGACCAAAAUACUAGGUGGCGACUCCAAAGAACAAAAAAAUAAAAAAUUUUCGCCAGUCGAACCUGCGAUAAGAUGAUUUGAUUUUUUUUGGGGUGCGACAAAUGUCAUCGCCGAUCACCUAGUUGACCAUGCUAUGGAAGAAUAUGAGCCGUUAAAAUUUGAUUUUUAUGAUAAAGAGGUGCUUUCAGUCAUGGAAGGGAAAUCAGAUUGGUGGAUUACGUACUUUGAUGGUGAUGUGGUAACGGAGUGGGGGCAGUGCUAAUCUCUCUUAAUAAGAAACAAUAUCCUGUUUCAGUUAAGUCGCAGUUUCGGUGCAAUAAUAACAUAUGAGCAUGAAACUUGCACUCUCGUUUUAGAGGUGGCAUUGGAGCAGAAUAUUAGAAAGAUAGAAAUGUAGGGAGACUCAAUUUUGAUUACUUGCCAAGUGAAAGAAAAGGGCAAACCAAGGACGAAAAAGUUGAGACCUUACCAAGAAUACUUGUCUAAAUUGGCUAGAGAAUUUAAGGAAAUAAAGUUCACCCAUUUAGGAAGGACCCCUUUUUGUUGAUGCUUUGGUCAUGCUAGCUUCUAUGGCUAGAAUAGAUUUUGGGCACAAGGUACAUUCGGUACACAUUGAUACCAGAAAUAACCCAGCUCUUUGUUGCUCAGUUGAAAGAGAAAUAGAUGGAAACCCUUGGUAUUAUGAUAUCCAGAAUUUCAUCCAAAACCAGACAUAUCCCAUGGGGGCCUCCAAAAUCAACAAGAAGACUUUAAGGAGACUGGUAAUGGAUUUUUAUCUUGGUGGGGAAACUUUGUAUAAGAAAUCAUCUUACAGAACUUUGUUGAGAUAUUUGGAUGAUGUGGAGGCAACAGGUGUUAAAGAAAUUUAUGGAAAGAGAUUUGAUAUGUCGAUAUGGUCCGCUAGAAAAUAUUAUAACUAAUAAUAUGCAUAACUUCAAUAGCAAGAUGAUAAUAGAACUCUACACUAAAUGGAAAAUUAAGCAUUCCAAUUCCUCGCUAUAUAGGCCAAAGAUGAAUGGUCCGAAAAUGUCAAGAAGAUCAUUUAGAAGAUGGUAGUCACCUACAAGGAUUGGCAUGAGAUGUUGCCAUUUGCCCUUCAUGCAUACCGCACCACAAUCUAAACUUCAAUAGGAGCCACCCCGUACACUUUGGUAUAUGGUAUGGAGGUGGUGAUUCCUUUAGAAGUGGAAACCCCCUCAUUAAGAAUAUUGGUAGACUUUGAGUUUAGAAGAGGUGGGAUGGGUAAAAGUUAGAUAUGAAUAGUUGAAUCUGAUUAGUGAAAAGAGGAUAGUUGCAAUCUGUCAUUAUCAUGAAUGGCUAAAUCAUAUGAUAAGAAGGUUCGACCUCGAGGAUUCUAUAAAGGAGAUCUUGUAUUGAAAAAAAUAUAGCCUUUACCAGGAGAAGAUUAGAGUAAAUGGGAAGCAAACAAUAAAGGCCCUUAUACGGUAAAGAGAGCGUUCUCGGGAGGAGUUUUAUUGUUAUGUAGAAUGGAUGGAGAAGUUCUAGUUAGACCUGUGAAUGCUGACUCUAUAAAGAAAUACUAUGCUUCCCGAUCCAUAAAAUAAAGUUCAGCCGUGAAUUCUCUCUGUAAAGAAUCUUUUCUUUAUAAAGCGCAUGAUCUCAUAGCAUUCAAGAUCUUUUAGUUUAAAGAACUGUUUUUACACAUGACUAAGAAGAUGACUCUAUCAAUUCUCAAAUUGGAGGGAUCUAGACCAAAUUUAAACCUGGUAGGUAUUGCACACCACACUAGGAGGCAAAAAGUGUACAUAGGGGUCUGUAGUGAACCAAAGCCCAAAAGGGAUAUCAUCAUAGAACUUCUGAAACACCUUUUAUGAGAGUUGCUUAAAAAACAAAAUAUGAUGAUUGCAUUGAAAGUUUUCGUUUUCAUGAACAAACCUAAAUUUUUGAGUUUUCCUUUUAAAAAUAAUUUCUCAAAAAAAUGGAAAAGGCAAUUAAAAAAAAUAUAAUACAAAGCAACGUUCAAUGGAGCAAGAAAGGGCCCCCACAAGGAACUAGAGAUCUUUUCACCAAGCAUAAAAAGGAUAGAAAAUAUAGCGUGUGAAGCAUAUUCUAGUUCAAGAGGAUAGGUCGGGCAAACAAAUGGAAAUAGGAACUCGAAUAAGUCUACUACAAAAAAGGGGGACCUAUGUUUCCAAGAUAGGUAACAAAAACAUGCAUAACACUAACUUGGCAUAACAUAGCACUAAAUUGGUAGGAAAGGUGUGACAAAAGCCAAAUUAGUUCCAAGUUUUUUUGGGAACUGCUAAGAGACAAAAUCUCAGGUCAACAAAACUAUGGAAAAUUAUAGGAAUUGUGAACCAGCACUGCUUCAUUCCUCGAGGUAUGAUGUUUUCUUUAAGAAUUUUAAGAGGGGUCGGUCACCCGAUUUUGAGACCGUUUCUUAGAAAAGCGUGGAGUUUUCUAAGAAUUUUAAGAUAGGCUAGUCACCCGAUUUUGGAGACCAUUUCUUAGAAAAGCGUGGAGUUUUCUAAGAAUUUUAAGAUGGGUCGGUCACUUGAUAUUGAGACCGUUUUUUAGAAAAGCGUGGAGUUUUCUAAGAAUUUUAAGAUGGGCAGGUCACCCGAUAUUGAGACCCUUUCUUAGAAAAGCGUGGAGUUUUCUAAGAAUUUUAAGAUGGGCAGGUCACCCGAUAUUGAGACCCUUUCUUAGAAAACCGUGGAGUUUUCUAAGAAUUUUAAGAGGAGUCGGUCACCUGAUAUUGAAACUAUUUCUUAGAAAAGCAUGGAGUUUUCUAAGAAUUUUAAGAGGGGUCGGCACCCGAUAUUAAAACCGUUUCCUAAAAAAAAACAUGGAGUUUUUCUAUAAUUUUUAAAACGGGCAGGUCUCCAGAUAUUGAGAUCCCUAUCUAAAAUCCUACAUUUGGGUAGGUCACCCAUCAUAAUGAGACCAUCAUCUUUCAUUUGGGUAGGUCACCCAUUAGAAUGAGACCAUUCUCCAUUUUUUUUUUACCUAGGUAGGUCACCCAUUAUAAUGAGGUCAUUCUUCCCCCUGGGUAGGUCACCCAUAAGAAUGAGACCACUCUUCCCCUUUUCUACCUGGGUAGGUCACCCAUCACAAUGAGACCAUCAUUUUUCCUGGGUAAGUCACUCAUUAGAAUGAGACCAUUCUCCAUCUUUUUUUUACCUGGGUAGGUCACCCAUUAUAAUGAGGCCAUUCUUCCCCUUGGAUAGGUCACCCAUAAGAAUGAGACCACUCUUCCCCUUUUCCACUUGGGUAGGUCACCCAUGACAAUGAAACCAUUAUUUUUUCUGGGUAGGUCACCCAUUAGAAUGAGACCAUUCUCCAUCUUUUUUUACCUGGGUAGGUCACCCAUUAUAAUUGUCGCACGUGUGCGGCGAAAAAAAUAUGUUUCCAUUUUAAAUCUAUCUCUAUGUGGCAGAUAUGGGGAGACAAGAAAAUAUUGUCUUUUGUGGGUGAAAAAUGGAAUGGGAGUCGCCACCUAGUAUUUUGGUCACUAGGAACCCUAACUGGUCUCGGAGAUCGGGUAUGGGGAUUGGUUGCGUAAAGGGAAGUUUUUAGCACCCCAAAUACGCCUUACCUAAGGUAAGCUGCAUUGUUUUAUUGUCUGAUAAAAUCUAAGGUCUUUUCGUGUUUUCCUAGUUGUUGGAAUGGUUCAAGAAAAGUCCUUCUCGGUAAGGAGAUCCUUAUCUUAAUAGGUAAUUCUGACGUUAACAAAAUAAUUUAAUAUUCAGAAUACGUCUUACGUAUAAGAUCGUAACCCCAAAUACUAAAAGAAAACACAAUAAUUUUUUUGGAAGUUUUGAAAUAUUGGCCUAGUUCUCAUGGCUUGAAUAAACUGGUUAUUAAAGUCAAAAUGCAUACUAAUAAAUAUAUUUUUUCAAAAUUUCUUUUGUUGUAUGAAAAUAUGAUGCGAUGAUUUUUCUUUAUUUUGGAGAGACUAGGUUGUAUGCAUUAAAACAAAAAAACAUUUUUUUUGUCUGGACGAAAACCGGGUAUUUUAAUACUGGAUUUGUAUCUUUACGGUAUAAAAAUACAAACCAAUAUUAAGCUAUUUUGAUAAAAACAUGCAAGGAAAUCAACAAUAUUUUUUAAGGAUUUCUCAUAUUUUUUUGAAAGCAAAAACAUUUUUUUAUUUUAAAAUUCUUGAUGUUUUGACAAAAAAAAAAACGGGUAUUUUAAUAUUGGAUUUGUAUCUUUACGGUAUAAAAAUACAAACCAAUAUUAAGCAAUUUUGAUAAAAAUAUGCAGGAAAAUCAACAAUAUUUUUCAAGGAUUUUUCAGAUUUUUUUUUUAAUUGUUUUUUUGAUAUAUAUAUAUAUAUAUAUAUAUAUAUAAUUUUAAUAAAUAAUAUAUAAUAUUAGGUGGGCUGGGCCGGCCCAACUUACUAAGUCGGCCCACCUUACUAGGCCGGACUCAGCCCCAAAAGGGAUUAGGCCGAUCUCGGCCCAACAACUCUCCUAUCUUUGUUUGGGCCAGACCCGACCCAGACAGCAGGGCUGGGCCAGAACCAUUUUGGCCCACACAAAAAUAUUUCUGGGCCAGAACCCGUCUGGCCUAGAGAAGGGAAAGAACAACAAUGCUGGGCCAGCAUCAGCCUGGGCCAGCCACAUAAACUGAUCGGGGGGGAAUUAUUGUCCCCCUCCCCUCCUCCUGCAUGCAGAACGCUGCAUGCAGGAGGAAAAACAAUUAAAACGCAAACAGUGAGGGGGAAGAGGAGUUACCUGGCACGGAGGAGGCGGUGCAUUGCUGGUCUGUCGGCUUCGCUGGAGGUGCUGUGGUGGAGGUCAGUGGCGGUGUCGUGGCUCGCGGACGGCGGCUCCAAGCGGCUGUUCCGAACGGUUCUGUGCUCUCUCGGUUCUGUGUCUUCUUUUUUGCUUUUAUGUUUCCCUCUUGGUUUCAAGCUUUCCCCUUUUCCUUCCUCUUAGUUUUGGGUUUUGGGUGGCUCUCUCUUAUGUUCGGUUGUUUCUCUCUCCUCCUCUCUCUCUUCGGUUCCUUCUUUUUCAUCCUCCUUUUUCGUCCUCCCGUGUUGGCGUUGGAGGGGGGUAUUUAUAGGGAAAUAGGGAGCGGAGGCGUCCCUAUUGCCAACGUGUGGCUGCAUGGGGAGCGAGGCUUUGCUGCCCUGUCACACCGCCGGGUUGGCUGGGUAGUGGGCGCGGCUGGCAGGCGCGACUCCCUCGAUGCAUCAUCAUGACAGUGUGUGGGGUUUCGGGAGGUGGCAGGGGUGUGGCCUGUGGGGUUGAAAAAAUAACCUUCCCCUGCUGCACGUCCAGGGGAAGGAUAAAGGGGAAACAGUGUCAUUCAAAACGACGUUGUUCUGCUCUUUUUCUUUUUUCUUUUUUUUAACAUGAAAACGGCGUCGUUUUGGGAAAAACGCGCCGUUUCAUUUAAAUAACAAAAGGGGCGCCAACAGGCGUCAAUCUACAAGUCAGCCCUCAAUUAUCUUUUGUUUAUUUCAAUUGCAUCCUUCAAAAAUUCAAUCGCCACCCUCAUAUUUGGCCGCCUUUUCCACUUUCGUCCUUGGUCUCUGAUUCAUGCAAUUUGACCCACAAUUGAUCAAUAAACUUCCAAUUUCUUCUGUUAGGCCCCCCGGAUCAAUCCAAUACAGCCCCCCUAUUUACGCGCCUCUUCCAAUUUGGUCCCUGGUUUCGGAUUUUCUCAAUUAAGUCCCUAAUUGACCAUUAAACUUCAAUAUUUAUGCAAUUAAGCCCCUGAUUUGACCUAAUAAUUUCCUAAAAAUUAUAAUUUGGCCCCAGAACAUUAAUUUCUUCUAAUUAAAGCCCAAAAUUGACUUAAAAAUCAAUUUUCUUGCAAUCAAAUCCUCUAUAAAUUCAAUUAAAAAUCCAAUCAAGUCCAUAAACCUUCAAAUUUGGACUUUUCUCCUAAAAAUUCAAAUUUUCUCUUCCAACGGGGGUCUCAUCAUACAAGAAUAUACUGCCAAAAAUCUGAUCUAUAUAUUUUAAACUUCCUUGACCAAAUUUUUUCCGACCAUCUUCUGAGCGUUUCUGCCUGCUAUUAUUUUUUGAUCUUUUUGGCUAUUUAUUUUAUUUAUUUUUGUGGGGACCCGAAAAUGGGUUACAACAAUAAUGAGGCCAUUCUUCCCCUGGGUAGGUCACCCAUUAGAAUGAGACCACUCUUCCCCUUUUCCACUUGGGUAGGUCACCCGUCAUAAUGAGACCAUCUUUCAUUUUGGGUAGGUCACCUGUUAUAAUGAGACCACACAUAUAUUUUUAUAUUGGUUGUGGUUAAAGGAGAUCGCCAGAUGGGAUCUCAAGUUAACUCAACCACACACAGAGUUUAGCUUUGGUUAAAGGGAAUCGUUAGAUGGAAUUUCAGGUUGACUAAGCUACACACUAACUUUGCUUCGAGUUAAAGGAGAUCGCUAGAUGGGAUCUUAGUUUAACUCAAUCAAAAAGGCAAGUCGCCCGUGAAAAUAGAUUAGCGUGAGUACAUGGGCAGGUCAGCCCUAAAAAUAGGCCAGGUUGAGUGUGUGUGGGCAGGUCGCCCUUGAAAAUAGACCAAUUUUCUUUUAAAAAAGUGAAGUCCUUAGAUGAGUGGAUCACUCAGCCAACAGGGAAGACUUUUUCUUUCUUUCUUUCUUUACAAGCUUACUAUGCCAAACAUUGAGGAGUUUUGCUUCGUAAGCAUUGUAAAGAGAGGGCAUCUGUUGCUACCUAAUUUUUUUACCCAUGUUUUGAUUUUUUUUAAUAUAUAUAUAUAUAUAUAAAACUAAAAAAAAAUAUAUAUAUAUAUAAGGGUUUACAUGUGGCAAUAACAUAGAGCAUCAUGAUUAAUAUUAAGGAAGCAAUAUGUCAAGGAGGUAAUUACUAAAUCAUAAAUAAUUUGGUUUGAUUUGUGCUGGUUAUGAAAAAUAAUCACUACAAUAUAAAAUAUCAUAGAUAUAUAAUUUGAUUCGUACUCGUUAUGGAAAAUAAUUAUUGUAAUAUAAAAUACCAUAGAUAUAUGAUUUGAUUCGUGCUGGUUAUGGAAAAUAAUCAAUGCAAUAUAAAAUACCAUAUAUAUGGGAUUUGUUAGUGCUGGUUAUAGAAGACAAUCUCAGCAAUAAUUAUUGCAAUAUUUCCUUCAAUAGCACACAUAAAGAUUUUCUAUAUAAGUGAACCUCCAGUUAUAAUAAAAAGAAGAGGAGAAAAUUUGGAGGAGAGCAAUUUUAAGACAAAAAAAUUAGGGCAUCCACAAAACCCUAAACCCAUCUCUUUUAAGCCAGGCGACUGCACACCCUCGUUUGAAAAAAAAAAAAAGAGCCACCGCCCAAGGAAGCCCUCUUCCUUCUCCUUUCAGCCGACAAAGCUCCCCUGCACUCUCUUUUCCCUGUCGCCAACCUCCAAACCACGACAGCCACACAUUGUCCCCACACACUUCGCCUCCAGCCGCUACCUCGCAGGUAAGUCUUGCAAACUUUGAGAAUAUAUUCACAUGGUUUCUUGUCUUUAAUUGCGAUUAACUGUGAUGCUUGUGUUUUUGAUAAAAAAAAUAUAAAAAAUGUUUUUGUGUGUUGCAUACGGCCAAUACCCUACCAUGUUUUUUUAAUGUCUUAAAAAAAAAAUACUUGAACUUUCAAAAAUGUGUUUUCGCAUGAAUUUCUUAAACACAACAAAAAAAAUUAUUUUCUUGCAUUUCUAGAUUUUACAACAUGUUUGUAAAACUCCAAAGGGUAUUGGCCAAUAUUCCAAAAAAAUACAAAAAUCUUAUUUUGGGGGGAAUUCAUUUAUUAUUCACCAUUAAUGUUUGGAUAAAGAAAUCCCAAAGGGAUGAAUAUCCAAAAUAUUAUUGGGAAUAACUUGUUAUUAUUCACUAUUAAUAUUUGGAUAAAUAAGCCUUAAGCGGUAAAUAUCCAAAAUAAAUUUCUAGGAAUAAUAAGUCAUCAAACAUCCUUGAAAAAAGCCUUGAUUAUAAUUGAGGACAUUUCAAUUUUACUCCACGGUUUACGAGCCGUGAGAGUAUGAAACACUAAGGCAAAAAUAGGCUUUUAAAGCGCCUUGAAUUUCCUUAGAUUUCUAAAUUUUUUGUCCCUCCUCCUUGUGAUUUACGAGUCGCAAAACUCUUGAAAUACUAAGGGAAAAUUGAGCUUUCGAAGCACAUGGAAUCUCCUUGGAUUACUAUCCUAAUAAAUUUAGUUUGAAUCAAACCUAGGAAAAUUGAUGGAAUUACAAAACAUCAACACCGUAGCAAUUAUAAAGCAAACCAAACACUAAGCAGCUUACCUUAGGUAGGGCGUACUAGGGGUGCUAAUACCUUCCCUUUACGCAACCAGUCCCUUGCCUUAAAAUCUCUGAAAGACCAGUUAGGGUUCCUAGUGACCAAAAUACUAGGUGGCGACUCCAAGGAACCAAUCAAGCAAAAUAAUAAACGAAAAAAUCACCAUCGGACGCAGAGUGGGUGACGUGCGACAAUUCUUUAGGUAAUAGAAGGUGUGAAAGUUUCUAAUUUGUCACUCUCGUAGUAGUAGUACAAAUACAGAGUCUCUCAUAAAGGCAUGUAAUGAUUUCAUAGGAAACCAUAUAUGAAGUAAAAAAUAGUAUGGUAAGACACCAAACGGGUGACAAAAUGAACAUUUUUCAAACAAGUGUUAGGGGAUGCAAAGUCUCUUGAAAUAGAAAAUAUGAAGAAUCAUAGGUUGAGGGAAAAAUCAUUAUUAUUCAAACAAUAAAAAAAAAUCGAAAGUCAAAUUAAAUGCAUAUUCGAAGGUCAAAUUAAAUGAUUAUUGGAUGAAUUUGCAUAAAAAUUAAGUCCAAUGACAUAAUUAAAUUUUUAAUGGGCCAAUUUGAUUUAAUCAUGGGCCAAAUUAAAUUUUAAUUAUGUUUAAGAAUUAAUUUAGGUCCAAUUGAAGGAUUUAAUUAAGUGCAAGGACUUAAUUAUACUUUAUAAAUGGGUCAAAUUAAUUUGGGGGCUUAAUUGGUGAAAAUUAAGUUUGGGAGCUUAAUUUGGACUGAAUUGAAAAGAUUGAAAUUUUAGAUCAAAUUUAAUUUUACCAAGUGAAUUGAGACACAAAAUUGGACCAAUUUGGAAGCCGAAAAAAAAUUUUUGCCUAUAAAUAGCAGCUUUUAACUUAAAGUUAAGGAGGGGAGGUCAUUUUGUAAGGGGUAAUUUUGACACUUUCAAAAGAAAAAAAAAACACAAAAAACCCUAACCCUGAAAAAAAAAACUCUUUCCUUCACACCAACCACCCCCGUUGGUUUUCAUUUUUGGGCUCCCAGAGUCGCUUCCCCGAUUUUGAAUUUUCUUCUUCCUUCAUCUUCCCUGUGUGAAACCGAACCCGUUACUCCCUUUUCUGCUCCCUUCUCCCCAUUUUUCCAAGACUGUAGCCGCAGCCUUCUCCUCCAGAAAAAUCCAACCGGCCCCUUUCCCUUUGGGUUUUUCUUUUUCAUCUCCUCAGUCGGUUCCCCCUCUGGCCAUUUCCUUCUUCAGCCGCUGAUCUCCUUGCCACUCAGACAGCCCCCCUGACCUCUGCCCUCAUUUCCUUCUCCCAGCCGGCGACCCCAACCUUUACAAAGGAGGAAAGCCACGGUUGUUUCUCCAUUUCCUCUCAUUCUCAGCUGAUAGCCCGGUCAUAAACACAGAUUCUUCUUCCCUGAUUUUCUUCUACCUUCAGCCGGACCCUUUGCCAGAAACCCACGGCCUUUGUUCGGCCUCCAGAAGCAGCGAUCAGCCUCGUCUCCACCGGACAACAACAGUCCUUCUUCCUCCAGCGGCGCCGCCCGAUCUGGCACCCGAAGCAGAGGAGAAGAAGAUGAAACUCAGCCGCCACCAACAGGGUUGAAGGCCAUCUUCACCGCCAGCCGCAGCACACCAGUAACGACCCAGCAGCGGUCACAGGGUCACCGAACAGACCCGACGGUCACAGAUCCCCGAUCUGUCCGCCUUCGGUCUCCAGCUCUCCUUCACACCAGAACCAUCUCCGGAGAAGAAGAGAGGAACCACGGACAGGGAACAAAAAAAAUUAAAAGCAGAUCUGCAAAACAUAAGAAAAUAAAAGACUAAAAUCGACUGUGUUGUGCGUUUUCUGUCUUGCAGGUACCGGUGUUCCUCACAGCCAUCUCCAUUUGCUGGCGGCGGCGCGUGAACCCACGCGCCGCCACUGUACACAAUCACAGAAGAUGCCCAGGAUUCCCCAGCACUGUUCCCCAAGCUAUUUUUGUAAUUUGCAAAUGUUGCUGUUUAUAUUUGGCCACUGUUGUGUUUUGAUUUAUUUGAUUGUUUUGUUUUGUUAUGUUGUAAACAUGUAAUUAUGGGUGAGUCAGCAUAAUAAAAAGAGAUGUGUGUGUGUGUGUUUUUUUUAUUAUUAUUUAUUAUAUUGAAUUAUAUAUAAAAAAAAGAAAAAAAAAUGAAUUAAUUGUUUAAUUUGAACAUGCACAAAUAUCUAAGGAUAGAUAAAGUCAUGUUGUAUUUUUCAUGAAAAUGUAAGAACAUGUUUUUAGAGAUAUUCUGGGAAUUAAUAACUGAUUUAUCAAAGCCUUAGAAUUGGGCUAAAAAUUUUAUUUUUAAAAUUACAUCAAGCUGUAAUGGGUUUAGGAUAGACUGAGAUUUGUAAUUCGUCAAAAGAAAAAUACCUUUUUUAAUAUCGGGUAUACGUUUUAUGUAUAAAUUUGUAAUUCCUAAUACUAAAACAAAACAAGAUAAACAUUUUGUUGCUUUUCAAAUUUUGGCCAAUGUUUUCUACACUUUAAUAAACUAAUCAUUAAAGUCAAAAUGUAUGCUGAAACAUUGUUUUUUAGGCGCUAAAGUUUGCUGCCUUUUUCACUUCGGUCCUUGGUCUUGAAUUAGUGCAAUUUGACCCUCAAUUGAGCAAUAAACUUCUAAUUUCUUCAAUUUAGCCCCUCAUCCAGUUUUAAUUACAACCAUUUAUUUACACGCCUUUUCUAAUUUGGUCCUUGGUUUCGGAUUUCUUCAAUUAAGUCCUUAAUUGGCCAUCAAACUUCAAUAUUUACGCAAUUAAGCCUAUGAUUUGACCAAAUUAACUUUCAAAAAUUAUAAUUUGACCUCAGAACUUUAAUCUACUCCAAUUAAAGCCCAAAUUAACUCCAAAAUUAUUUUUUCUUACAAUCAAAACCUCUAUAAAUUCAAUUAAACCUUCAAUAAAUUUAAUUGAGUUCAUAAACAUUUGAUUUUGGAAUUUUCUUCCUCAAAUUGAAUUUUCUUUGUCAACAAGGCUCUCAUCAGUCAAUAAAAUACUGCCAAAUUUUAAUCUUUGUAUUUUUAAACCUCCUCAACCAAUUUUUGAUUAUUUUAUGAGCGCUUUAGCAUCCUUUCCUCACUGCUAUUAUUUUUUUAUAAUAUUUUUGUAUUAUUUUUUUUGUAUUUUAUUAUCUUUUAUGUUGGGACCCAAAACUGGAUUGCAACAGUUGCCCCCCCCUCUUUACAAUGCUUAAGGAGCAAAGAUUUUUUGUAGUAAGUGUUGUAAAGAUAAACAAAAUUGGUUUUCUCAAAAUUUGGUUGACCUUAAACUUCAAUCGGACCCAAAGUCUUGUGUGUGGUUGGGCUAAACUGAGAUUCCUUUCACCAAUCCCCUCUAACCAGAACCAAAAUCCUCUGUGUGGUUCGGAUAGACUGAGAUUCCUUUCGCCAAUCCCCUCUAACCAGAACCAAAAAUCUUGUGUGGUUAGGAUAGAUGAGAUUCCUUUCGCCGAUCCCCUCUAACCUGAACCAAAAUCCUUUGUGUGGUUCGGAUAGACUGAGAUUCCUUUUGCCAAUCCCCUCUAGCCAUAACCAAAAAUCUUAUGUGGUUAGAAUAGACUGAGAUUCCUUUCGCCAAUCCCCUCUAACCAGAACCAAAAUCCUACGUGUUGUUAGGAUAGACUCAGAUUCCUUUCGCUAAUCCCCUCUAACCAAAACCAAAAAUCUUAUGUGGUUAGGAUAGACUGAGAUUCCUUUCAUCAAUCCCCUCUAACCUGAACCAAAAAAUCAUGUGUUCAAAUCCUUUGUUUUUUAAAGAAAGAUGGUCUAUUUUCACGGUCGACCUGCCCACGCACUCACACUUACCCUGGUCUAUUUUCAUGGCCGACCUGCCCACACUUACUCAAAGUCGUCUAUUUUCAGGGGCGACCAGCCUACACACUCACGCUGACACUGUUUUAUUUUCAUGGACGACCUGCCCAAACAUAAAAGGAAAGAGUGGGAUCAUUGUAAAAGGGUGACCUACCCAUGUGAAGGAAUGGUCUCAUUGUAAUGGGUGACCUACCAAGAAAAAAAACUUGGAGAAUGGUUGAAUUGUAAUGGGUGAUCUACCUAGAUGGAAAAAGGAAGAGUGGUCGUGUUGUAAUGGGUGACCUACCCAGGCGAAUGAAUGGUCUCAUUAUAAUGGGUGACCUGCCUAGAUAAAAACAUGGAGAAUUGGUCAAAUUGUAAUGGGUGACCUACCUAAAAAUUGGAUGGCGAGGGCUCAAAGGCGCACUCAAAAGGAGGUAGGGUUAGAAAAUGCACUACCAAAGAGGUGAGGGCUGAAAGGCACACUCAAAAGGAGGUGAGGGCACAAAUGUGCACUCAAAAGAAGGUGAGAGCUCAAAGGCGCACUCAAAAGGAGAUAUGGUUAGAAAACGCACUGCCAAAGGGAUGAGAGCUCAAAGGCGCACUCAAAAUGAAGUAGAGUUAUAAAACACACUACCCAAGAAGUGAUGAUGAAACACUGAUCUAUCAAUGUUGAAAGCAAAUACAUUAUGAUUGAUAUGCAUGUAUACUUACCUGAAAAAUAUAGGCCCCUAUUUCUUCAUAGUGUCUUUCUUUUCUCAAAAGUGGAAUGUUGAUAGUAAACUUCGAUGGCCUUUUCACUCUUGUUUACUCAAGUCACAUCUUGUGAUCUUGACCCCUAGAAAGGUUUUAAUGUCAUCAUACAUCUUUGUCCUUUACCCUUUAUCUUAAAGGUUGCCAAUUUUGCCUGACAUUUUCCUUAGAAAAUGAAUCAUGGAGCCAGCCCUACCAUAUGGUUUUGAUUGCCCCCCAGCUUGAUCAUGCCCCCCAAGUGUUCAUUCGGUUUUACUUUGGGGUGAUGAUAUGUGAGAGUAAGUUUAGGUUUUUUGUAUAAUGAAAUGUUUUCAUGGAAAAUUUUUGGAUCUUCCAAGUUAUUCCAACCAUAAAACUCAUUUUGACAUUGGUUCAAAAUAAACUUAUUCUAAAAAUUUCAAGUGAUUCAUAUGGACAGGUUUCUUGAAGUGAUGAAAGCUUUUUGCUUUUGGUUUAAAGAUGAAGUGACAUCUAGUUGGUCACAAAAGGUUUAAAUUUCAAUUUGAGGGUUAUUGAGAACCAAACCGGUUCAAAGCAUUCAUUUUAUUCGCAUGAAUAAAGAUUUGACCCACACAUGAAAGCACUGCCUACCAAUCCAGAUUGCUUGCCUUUGAUCAGAAAGGGCUUUAUUAGGUAUGUAGUGUAGGCUUUGGCUAUUGGUUACGAAGAAAAGGAUAUUUUGGAGGCUUAAAAGGUGUUUAAGGGAUUUCAAAACUAAGGAUCACUUGUGCUUAUUUCUUGACCUUUUUCUUUUGAAUGUCUUUCCAAAAUGGUUUGUCUUACCCCCCCCCCCAAUGUGGGGUUUGUGAUCUUUCUCUUUGUUUUCUUCAUUUUGUUUGGUUGAGCAUUAUCACCGUAAUUGUUUUUAUAAGAAGCUCAAAUCUUUUGGAUCCUUUGGAUCUUCUUGUUUUUUUUUUUUUUGGGACCAAUCACAACAUUUAUCUUCACUACUUCAUUUGGAUGAUAAUGAAAGACUAAAAAUUACAUGAUCAAUUCCAGUACCCAUCUCAAAAUCAUGCAUUGAGAAUCGAUAGGUCUUGCUUUUGUGCGCAUAUGUAAAGUGAUUUAUUCAUUCAAGUAAAACUCAGCUUUUGAGUCACCUCAUAGUGUUGUUUAUCCUUGUUUUUUUAGUCCUUUUCUUUCAAGUUUUCUAUGUAUAUUUUUACCCUUCUAAGGAAUCACUUGAAUUUCCAGAAUGCAUUUGUUUUAGAUAAAUACUAACAUGAUUUUUGUUUUUGUACUCACUUUGGAGGUCCCAAAAAUAUCUAUGAAAACAUAUGAGAUUAUGCAUGGUUUUGGAGGAAGGAACACCGAAGGAUUUUUAAUGUUGUAGUUUUGUGUGCAAAAGUCAUGCUCAAAAUGUUAUUUGCAUGUAAUAACAAAGAAAAGUAUGAUAUGAACACAGGAAAACACAUGAUCUUAUUUGUCAUAAUCCAAUUUUUAACCAUUUUAUUUUAAUUAUUAUCAUUAUUUUAUUUACUGAAAAGGAAAAAAAUGAUGAAAAAAAAUAAUGUUGGAAAAACAAGUAAAAUGAAAUAAAUGAAGAAUGAAUUAAAAUUUGGGUUAAGGGCAAUAUGAUUGGAAGUUUUGGGGUUUAAUUAUACUUUGGAAUUAAUCUAAUUAAACUUAGAAUUAAUUUAAUUAAUCCAAUCAAGGAUUUAAUUGGAUAAUUGAAAGUUUUGAGACUUAAUUAAGCUUGGAAUUAAUUUAAUUCAUCCAAUCAAGGAUUUAAUUGGAGAAUUGAUAAAGUUUUGAGACUUAAUUAAGCUUGGAAUUAAUUUAAUUAAUCCAACAGGGGCUUAAUUGGAUAAUUGAAAAGUUUUAGACUUAAUUGGACUUUGGAUUAAGAUAAAUCAAUGAAAUCAGGGACUUAAUUAAAGAAAUAUCAAAGUUUGGUGUCUAAUUGGGACACAAUUGCAACAAAUUAAAAUCCAAGGAUUACAUCAAAAAUGGCGCGCAAAUGCAGGGGGCCAAUUACAGUUUAAACUAGGGGCUUAAUUAAAAAACUUUUAAAAAUUCAAGGACCAAAAUGACAAUAACCAUUAAACACCCCGCCCGCCGACACUGUUCAUCUUCCUCAACCGUUCAGCCGCCCGCCGCCAACAUUACACCUGCAAUCAAUGGAUGAAACGACAGUAGAGAGGAGGAAAAAAGCAGAACCGAAAGAGAGGGAGAGGCUAAACCCAGACACAAAAAACCAGUGAAACAAGGAGGAGAGAAAAAAACACAGUAGAGAGGAAAAGGAAAAAAACCGGGGAGAGGAAAAAGAGCAGAGCCGAGGGGCUGAGAGGGAGAAACAAAAAACAGAGCCACAAACGGCAGAAAUAAAGAGUCACAGAACCGAGAGACUGAAACAAGAAAAAAGGGGACGAACCAUUCGCAAAAAAAAGGAGACUGAAAAAUUGAUCUGGUAUUUUGAUUUCAAAAAAAUAAUUUGAUGUUCUUUCAAAAAUGAUAUUUUUAACAUUCUACUUGUAGAAUGACAAUUGAAUCAAGCAACUCCAUCAUUGAGGUGACUAAAUUAUAAACCAAAAAAAAAAAGAAAAAAGAAAAAAGGAAAAAAGAAAAAAGAAAUGAAUAAACACCCUUACCCCAUGACUCUUGAAUCAUGUGUUUUUAAAUGUAUGAAUAAUGGUAUGUAGUGAACUCGUUGCUCAUGACCCUAUGAAAUGUAUCUUUGCAAAGACCAAACCAUCACACUAGAUGAGGCCAAAGUUUAUUGAUCUUAACUGCUUGCACUUGAAAUGAGGAAAGACCAUCUUUGUUAUUCCUUUCACGUUCUGAAAUAAGUACAUCCCUUGCGAUCCCUUUUUAAGCCUGAAUAAUUUUUCUUUCAUGAAAAAAUCCCGACUAGGAUCACACCCCACACUGGGGGGCAAGAGAAAAUUUCAAUGAAAAAAGAGGAAAAGCUGUGAGAAAGCCAAAAAGGCAUAAGAGUUCAAGAAACUCAAAUGCUAGGGGGCAUGCCCAAAUCACUAGAAAACGUGACAUCCAAGAUUAAAGUGAGUAUCCCCUAGCAAAGCAAUAAGAAAAAAGAGAAGAAGCAGCAAAUCAAAGAAGAACGACAAAAGAAAAUGUGAAUGACGUCAAGAGUCAAACUGUUGAUAGUGAUCCUCGGUCUUUGAAACCCUGAAACACUCUUUGAGCCUUAUGAAUCCUUUUCUUUCAUAGCCAAGAACCAUAACCUACGUUACGUGCCUAUAGAAGUCCUUUCUAAUCAAGCAUGCAAGCGACCUAGAACAAUAAACAAUGCUCUCAAAAUGCAAAGAAUACUUUUUCAUAAGGUUCAUGACAUCAAGAAUAAACUACUCAUUAUUAUUCAUGUUGAUAAAAAUGAAUGUUCAAAAAGAGAAUUUUUUUUCUCAUACAAAACCUCGAGCUUUUUCUCGAGCCCUUCACUUUGAAACCAAAGGUCGUCUCAUGAUGUAUUUUUACUGAAGAUCUCAUUGCUAAACACAAGAGCAAAUAACCUCUUUUCCAAGAAAGAAAAUAACCAAGGAGUUGCAAGAUUUCAAAAGCAAAUUGUUUUAGAUUCACAUCGAAAUAAUUUUUGUUUUCAAAAUGCAAGAUUUCAAGAUUCAUUCUAGACCCAUAUUCCUUCACCAAACUGAAAAGGAGAGAAAUGAGAGAAUGGCCUUUUAAAACCAUUAUUUUUCCAAGUCAGUGACAUAACACACUUGGGGGCAAUAACCAGUACAAGGGGCAACAUUGUAUUUAAGGAAAAUCUUCUUCUAGAAAAGAGAGGAACAUUUCCUACAACAAGGCAAGGGGCAUUUUGGUUUAUGAAAGACAGUUUGAUCCUUUCAGCAAGUGACACCGAAGUUUUUUAGCAAUGAGACGAGGAUUAAUAAAUGAUUCUCUCAAAUAUCUAGCAAGCAAGGGGAUUACGUUGGGCAUCACAAAGGUUAAGUUGUGCAAACAAAUAUGGAAAUAGACUUACAUGGGCCAACUCGAGUGGGCUAGAAGCCAAGCGACAAAGAGGACUCAAAUUAGAGGUAGCAAGUCCUCAUCAGUCAAGCAACAAGAAGACUAAGAAGAAAUGGGGGCCUAUAUUUCAAAACAGGUAAAUAUGCAUGCAUAUCAUCUUUGAGACAUUGAACAAUGCGUUUUGCAAAUUUCAUUAGAGAAAAUCCUAACAGAAUCCAUCAAGUGGAAGGCCAACUUGAAAUGGCUAAAGAUCAAAACGGUUGUCAGAUCAUUUUUUAGAAUUUUUCAACAUGGGAAGGCCGCCCAUGAGAAAUAGGCCAUCUGAAAAAUCUCCGUACUUUUCCACCUCCCUCGAGUGCCUUUGAGCACUCACUUUCCUCUUUAAAGUGCCUUUGAGCCCUUGCUUUCCUCUUCGAGCGCCUUGGAGCCCUCGCUUCUCUUCGAGUGCCUUUGAGCACUCACCUUUCUCUAGAGUGCCUUUGAGCCCUCACUUUCUUCUUCAAGUGCCUUUGAGCACUCGCUUUCUCCUUCGACUGCCUUUGAGCACUAGGCUUCCUCUUCGAGCGCCUUUGAGCCCUCGCUUUCCUCUUCGAGCGCCUUUGAGCCCUUGCUUCUCUUCGAGCGCCUUUGAGCCCUCGCUUUCUUCUUCAAGUGCCUUUGAGCACUCGAUUUCUCCUUCGAGUGCCUUUGAGCACUCGCCUUCCUUUACGAGGGCCUCUAAGCCCUCCCUUUCCUUUUCGAGCGCCUCUGAGCACUCGCUUUCCUUUUCGAGUGCCUCUGAGCACUCGCUUUCCUCCUCGAGCGCCUUUGAGCACUCGCUUUUCACGUAGAGCGCCUUUGAGCACUCACUUUCGUCUUCGAGUGCCUUUGAGCACUCGUUUCUUCUUGGAGCGCCUUUGAGCCCUCACUUUCCUCUUCGAGUGCCUUUGAGCACUCCCUUUCCCCUUCGAGUGCCUUUGAGCACUCGCUUUCCUCUUCUAGUGCAUUUGAGCACUCGUUUUCCUUUUGGAGCGCCUUUGAGCCAUCACUUUUCUCUUCGAGAGCCUUUGAGCACUCGCUUUCCUCUUUGAGUGCCUCUAAGCACUAGCUUUCAUCUUUGAGUGCCUUUGAGCCCUCGCUUCUCUUCGAGCGCCUUUGAGCCCUCACUUCUUUUUCGAGUGCCUUUGAGCACUCUCUUUCUCUUUGAGUGCCUCUGAGCACUAGCUUUCAUCUUUGAGUGCCUUUGAGCCUCGCUUCUCUUCGAGCGCCUUUGAGCCCUCACUUCCUUUUCGAGUGCCUUUGAGCACUCUCUUUCUUCUUGGAGCGCCUUUGAGCCCUCACUUUCCUCUUCGAGCGCCUUUGAGCAUUCACUUUCCUUUUGGAGCGCCUUUGAGCCCUCACUUUCCUCUUCGAACGCCUUUGAGCACUCGCUUUCCUCUUUGAGUGCCUUUGAGCCCUAGCUUUCAUCUUUGAGUGCCUUUGAGCCCUCGCUUCUCUUUGAGCGCCUUUGAGCCCUCACUUCCUUUUCGAGUGCCUUUGAGCACUCUCUUUCCUCUUUGAGUGCCUCUGAACACUAGCUUUCAUCUUUGAGUGCCUUUGAGCCCUCGCUUCUCUUCGAGCGCCUUUGAGCCCUCACUUCUUUUUCGAGUGCCUUUGAGCACUCUCUUUCCUCUUUGAGUGCCUCUGAGCACUAGCUUUCAUCUUUGAGUGCCUCUGAGCACUAGCUUUCAUCUUUGAGUGCCUUUGAGCCCUCGCUUCUCUUCGAGCGCCUUUGAGCCCUCACUUCCUUUUCGAGUGCCUUUGAGCACUCUCUUUCUUCUUGGAGCGCCUUUGAGCCCUCACUUUCCUCUUCGAGCGCCUUUGAGCAUUCACUUUCCUUUUGGAGCGCCUUUGAGCCCUCACUUUCCUCUUCGAGCGCCUUUGAGCACUCGCUUUCAUCUUUGAGUGCCUUUGAGCCCUCGCUUCUCUUUGAGCGCCUUUGAGCCCUCACUUCCUUUUCGAGUGCCUUUGAGCACUCUCUUUCCUCUUUGAGUGCCUCUGAACACUAGCUUUCAUCUUUGAGUGCCUUUGAGCCCUCGCUUCUCUUCGAGCGCCUUUGAGCCCUCACUUCCUUUUUGAGUGCCUUUGAGCACUCUCUUUCUUCUUGGAGCGCCUUUGAGCCCUCACUUUCCUCUUCGAGCGCCUUUGAGCACUCGCUUUCCUCUUUGAGUGCCUCUGAGCACUCGUUUUCCUCUUCGAGCGCCUUUGAGCCCUUGCUUCCUUUUCGAGUGCCUUUGAGCACUCGCUUUCUUCUUAGAGUGCCUUUGAGCACUCGUUUUCUUCUUUUCGAGCGCCUUUGAGCCCUCGCUUUUCUUCGAGUGCCUUUGAGUACUCGCUUUUCCCUUCAAGUGCCUUUGAGCAUUCACCUUCCUUCAAGUGACUUUGAGCAUUCGCUUUCUUUUUCGAGCUCGUCUACGAGCUCUUACAUUCUUUUGAGUGCGCCUUCAAGCCCUCAUUUUCUUUUAUUUAUUUAAUUGGGUAGGUUACCCAUUACAAUGAGACCACUUCUAAAAAAAAAUAUACCAAAAAAUAUAUAUAUGUAUAUAUAUACCAAAAAAAAAAAACAACAACAAAAAACAAAAAAAUGGGUCGUCUUGAUUUAUACAUCUGUAAAGGUCGUGUGUCAAUCUAUUGCUUUCAAAGUUUUCAAGGCUAAAAAAAAAUAAAAUUCUUUAUGUAUCUACUUUUCUUUAUAAAUUUACGAGACAAAGCUAAAAGAAAAUGAAAAUUUCCAAUAUCUUUGCAUAGUAAAUAUUAUAAAGAGGGGGCAAUUGUCAUAACCCAAUUUUUAACCAUUUUAUUUUAAUUAUUAUUAUUAUUUUAUUUACUGAAAAGGAAAAAAAUGAUGAAAAAAAAAAUUUGGGUUAAGGGCAAUAUGAUUGGAAGUUUUGGGGUUUAAUUAUACUUAGGAAUUAAUCUAAUUAAACUUGAAAUUAAUUUAAUUAAUUCAAUCAAGGAUUUAAUUGGAUAAUUGAUAAGUUUUGAGACUUAAUUAAGUUUGGAAUUAAUUAGAGAGUCACAGAACCGAGAGACUGAAACAAGAAAAAAGGGGACGAAGAGAGACAGAACCCGGGGAAAAUUUUGGUCCCUCAACCAGCAACAAAUCCUCGUUGCUUUUACCACCAUUGUCUUCGUUUUGAACGGGGAAGACUGGGCAGAGACACAAACAAGGAAGAAAAACUGGGAGGCAAAACUAGGGGAAUUGGACUGAAAAGGAGAAGGAAAAACGGGAGCUGAACUCAGACGCAGAACCAGAAACCGGAGAAAAGAACAGAGGAGAAAACACCGAGGAGCACGGGAACGAACCAUUCGCAGAAUAACAAGAAUGAAGAAGGGCGAAGGAGAAAGGCUCUCAGCAGACCAGGUCAGUAACCUUUUCUUCUUGCAUUAUUUCGGUUGAUUAGCAGUGCAGCAACACGCGUGCGUUAGCGCACGCGUGUUGCUCAGCCCAGCCAGGUCACUGGCUUGGGCUAGUGACCGGCUGGGCUGGGCCCAAAAAAAUUAAAAAAUAGAAAAAACAGAAAAAUUAAAAAAUAUGUAUGCAUGAAUAAAAAUAAUGGAAAUUUACUGGUUUAUUCACUAACGCUAGAGUCAGGAAUAAAAAUACCGGUUUAAAUUUAUAUUAUUUUUAUUCGUUGUAUUUUUAUUUUAUUUAGCUAGAAAAUAAAUUUAUUUUUUUAUUUAAUUAUUGGCGCUAGAGUAGGGAAUUAAAAAAUAUUAAUCUAAUUUUUUUUCGUAGCUACGAAUGUUUACCAACGCCAGGGCUAGAAUUAUUCGAGCGCGAAUAUUCACUGGCGCCAGAGUCAGGAAUAUUAAAAAAAAAAAAAUCAUAGCAUAAGCGAAUAAACAUUUAGUGAUUUAAGACAAAAUUAGCAAUGCAGUCUGCCUCAGGCAGAACGUUUAAGGGGUGAUAAUACCUUCCCUUUUACGUAACCAAUCCCGAGCCAUAGAAUCUUUAUUGACCAAUUAGUGUUCCUAGUGACCAUAAUACUAGGUGGCGACUCCUCAAACAAGACCUUUUCCCCUAAAGAACCAGAUGCCAGAUAUCUAUUCUUUUUCCAUAAUUCAAGAGCAUAAUUUGUGGGUCGCCGCGAUGUUGGGUGCGACAUGAUCUUAUUUCACAAGUAAAGCUCAUUAACAGAGAAAGUCUUGUUCCCAAGCAUUAAACAAAAAUCAAUAACAAGGAAGGCUUCAUUCCUCUAUUUUGGUGAAUUUGUUCUUAGGCUAGCCUGGUCUCAAAAGUUCUGUGCAGAGGACUCAAAGACAAUAUGGAACAACACCACGAUCAAAAUUUAAGUUCUUCAAAAUUCAUGCUAUCAUUUCUGCACCCAUGUUGGACCAUUGAUGCUUUCCAAUUCCCCAAACAUUUCAUCCUAAUAUGCUUCAAACAAGAUUAGAUAGUAGAUUCGUGUUUAUAUUAGGGGCAUCUUCCAAUUCUAUCCACCUGGCCUUGAUUAAUUGCAGAAGCUUUCUCUUGAAGGCUUUGCAGGUAUGGAUGCUAUGCCCAGUAAUACCAGCAUGAUAUUCACAAUUGAGUUCCGACUUGUACCAAUUAUGAUAAGGUGGCUGCACAGGUGUUAGAGGUUCUGGAGCUAUCUGCCCAUUCCUCAAUAGCUUUUGAUACAUCUCAUUCAAGGGUAGCGGUAGUAGAGGUAGUUGUUCUUGAACCCUUUGGUAAUUUCUAAUUUGGCUUUCGGAUUGAAAGUUUUGGGGUUCAUGAUUUUUUUAUUUUGACAAUUCGGGAUGGAGUGUGGUUGUUUUGGGAUGAUUUUUUCCUACCCAGUAGCCAUCUUCAACAUGGUGGACCUCUUUUCUUUCGAAGUCUCUUUUCUCGGUGGGUGCAAAAAUUCUACUACUCUUGACAACUUGCUCUAUGCGUUCACACACUAGCACAACAUUACUGAAUUACGAGGCCGAACUACCCAUCACAUAUUCGUAAUAGGGUGCUUUGAGUGUGCUGGCAAAUAAAGAGACCAUCUCUUUGUCUAGAAGUGGAGGAUGUACUUGAGCAGCUGAUUCCCGCCAUCUUUGAUCAUAUUCCCUUAUGCUUUAUUUGUCUUUUUUCUCUAGAUUGGACAAGUUGGUUCUGUCAAGAGCGAUGUCCAUGUUAUACUUUUACUGCUUGACAAAAGCAUCCACUAGAUCUUUCCAGCUCCAGAUUUUUGUGCUGUCCAAUCUCAUGUACCAGCUCAAUGUUGCCCCACUUAAGUUGUCUUGGAAAAAGUGCAUCAGUAUUUUUUCAUCAUGUACUACUUUUAUUGCAAUAGGACUUGAGGUGAGUUAUGGGGCAUUAUGUUCCACUAUAUUUGAUGAACUCAGGAACACGAAACUUCUUUUAAACAACCACAUUCGGGACCAAACACAUCUCUGAUGCCCGUACCGUGUCAUAUAAGUCUACCCUUUUAAUGACUUGAGUUUUGCUUCUAGUGCCUCUAUCUUAGCUUGAUCAAUGCUAUUAGAUGACUUGGCCUUGUGGGACUCGUUAGCAGAUGCCUCCAUGACUGUCAGGGCUGGUGCAGGUGUCGCUGACUGCACCAAUGUUGGAUUUUGCUAAGGCUCUUGACCAUGUUCACCCAUUCUUUCUUCAGGCUGAACUGUAGUAGGAGCUGGAUUAAAGGUGACCAGUCGAUUAGAAGGACGUUCACCAAAGGUAUUUCUCAGUGUUUGCUCUUGACCAUGAAGUUUAAUUUUCAAAAAAAUUUAAUUUUAAAGGAUAAAGUUAACAAUAAAAAUUAAAUAUUUAACAAAAAAAAAUAAAUCACAAUUCUAAUAAACAAGGGUAAAAAUGAAUUCUGUUUAUUAUAAUUAUAAUAUCAUGUGUAUAUAUUUAAGAUAUUGUGAACAAUAAUGUAAGGUUAUAUGUGGUAAAUAAAUAUGUAGUUAAAUAAUUAAGAGUUAUAAAUGACCUUAAACAAUAGAUUAAUAAAUUAAAAAUAUCUUUAUAUAUAUAUAAAUUAUUAUAUAUACUGUAACACUAAUACAAGAAUAAUUAGGCAUCAAGAAUUUUAUGCCAAGAAAAGAUUCCAAAUAACUUUGGCAUAAUAUGGACCACUUUGCAUCUAACUAUAAAUUUAUAUGAUAUUGGGAAAAUAAUAAAUUAUCUCCUUAGUUUCAAUACCUCAACAAUGACCCGUUAAUUAAUUUUAUAAUGUAAAAUUAAUAACAUAAUCACCACUAUGAAUCAAGGACCAUUACUUUUUUUAUUCUUAGGGACCAGAUUUUGACCCUUCAAAUACAACAAUCAAAGCAUACGCAUUGGUGCACAUCUUGUCUUUGAUUUCAUAUAUUAAAAAAAAAAAUUGUGCCUAUAUAUAUAUAUAUACACAUCCUUGCUCAAUCGGGGCCUACUUUCUUAUAUUUGUUAUUUUUAACGUUAGGGACCAUUUUUUUUUAAUUGUUUUCUAUGGAAUCAGGGACCAGAUUUAGACCCUUCGCUACAAUUUAAAUCUCAUUGAGUAUAUAAUUAGAGAGAUACAAAUAUAUAUCUCCUUCCACUGCCUCAAUAAUGAUAUCAUAAUUGUCUAUUUUGGUUGAGGAGGUGUACCAAGAUUUAAUGGGAAACUUAACGUUAUUAUUACAUUCCAUCCAUUUCAAUCUACAUCAUAAAAAGCUUUGUAAUUGAUAUUUUACCUGCUCCAUGCAAUAAAUAAUAAUUAAAAUUUUAACGACUUCAUCAAACCUUUUUAUGAUAUAGAUUAAAUGAAUGGAAAUUCAAAAUAACGUUUAAAACAUUUUAUAUGAUGAAAAGGGAUAUUAGUUUUUAAAGGAUUUUGGUCGUUUUCCUUUGAAUAUGUCGUUGAUAGUAUUUUCUUGAGACAAAGUAAAUACAAUUUUAGGUUAUUAAUGAAAUUUGAUAAUUUAACUAUGAGUUUCAUUGUAAAACUCAUGUUCUAGAUAACUUACUAGUUACAUGACCCACGCGAUGCUACAGAUCAAUUUUGUUUUCAUAAAAAAUAUAUAAAAAAGUUAAGAUUUAAAAGUGUUAGGCCUUUUCUGCAAAGCUAUACCCAAGAGUCUUGGUUUGGCUACAAUGUCUGGCCUAAGAGUAAUGUUUUUAAUAUUAAUAAUAACAUUAAACUUGCAUGACUCAAGUUUAAGUUGGUUUUGCUGCAAUACCAGAUCCAAUAGCCUUGGAUGUAGGUCUGACUGUAAGGUUGUGUUAUAAAAGUAUGAUAAUUAAAUAGAUUAAUUAAAAAGAAAAAAAAACCAACAUAAAGAAAAAAAACAAAUGAGAAAAAAGAAAAAAAAUCUAAAUCAACUGGGUUAACUCGCCAAAUCAAGUUAACCGGUCAAACUUGGGAUUCGUGUUAUGAAAAUCUGAUAAAUAAAUAGAAAAAAGAUUUAAUAUUAAUGAACUAAAUUUUUUUAAAAAAAGAUUAAUUAAAAAGGAAAAAGAAAAGAGAAAAUACCUACAGGAAGGAAAAAACUAAUGAAGAAAAAGAAAAAAAAUCUGAAUCAACUGGGUUAAAACCAUAAAACCUAGGAUCCGUGUGAUGAAAGCUUGUUAAUUAAACAGAAAAAAAAUUAAUAUUAAGAAACUAUAAACAAAAAAAAUAAACUAAAGGCAUAAAUUGUUUCACUGUAGACUGCACCGUGCUAUUCAUAGUAAAAGGCUUAAAAAGGAAAAAAAAAAAAAAAAAACAAAGGCAUAUGCCUCGGGUUAAUUUUUUUUUCUUGCAUAAAAAAUAUAAAAAAAGGCUAAGAUCUAAGAGUGUUAGGUCUUUCUGCAAAGAUAUAUCCAAACACCUUGGGUCUAGCUGCAACACUUGACCCAAGAAUACUAUUUAUAAUAUCAAUAAUAAUAUUAAACUUACAGGACUUAAGUUUAAGUGAGGCUGACUGCAACAUCGGACCCAAGAGCAUUCGAUUUGGGUCUGGCUAUAAGGUCGUGUCAUAAAAGUGUGAUAAUUAAAUAGAUUAAUUAAAAAAACUAAUGAAGAAAUAUAAAAAAAAUUGAAUUAAAUUGGUUGACCCGUAAAAUCUGGGAUUCGCAUAAUGAAAGUUUGAUAACUAAAUAGAAAACAAAUUUGACGGGUUUACCCAGAAUUAAUUGAGUUAACCCAUCAAACCAAGUUAACCUGUCAAGUCCGAAGUAUAUGUCAUGAAAGUCUAAUAAUUAAAUAUAAAUAAAUGAAAAACUAAAUUAAAGUAAAUGAAAAAAAUUAAUUAAAAAGGAAAAAAAUCCUGGUUAACCCGUCAAACCAGGUUAACUCAUCAAAUCCGGGAUCCGUGUCAUGAAAGUCUGAUAACUAAAUAAAUAAAAAAUUAACAUUAACAAACUAAAUUAAACAAAAAAAUUAAUUAAAAGAAUAAAAUACAUGGGAAAAUACAACAAAUUAAUCAUUUAAAAUGAGUCAUUUUUAAUGAAAAUGAGUGUCCUCCUUCUCUCUCUCAAAUGGAUCGAAAAAGUAAGAUUAAUGUAUAAUUUUAGUUUUUGAUCCUAUAUUUUCCUAGAGACAAAAAAUACAUAUUUAAAUAUAUCGAUUCAUUUUAAAGAUAUUUAGACAUAUGAUAAGAUACUAAAAUAAUUUGUUUUUAUUUUUUAAAAAAUAAUUUUUAAUAUCAGCAUAUAAAAAAGUUUGAAAAACCAAAAUAAAAUUAAUUUAAAGUAAAAAAAUUAAAAAAAUUAAUUUUUUAAAAAAUACUUUCGAAAUGUUAAUAACAAACAGAAUCUUAAUUUCCCUGAUUCUAUUCAGAGUCUCUCUUAAUUUGGAUCGUCCGAAAAAAUUAAAUCCUUGAUGAACUAGUCCGAUCGAUUCAAUUAUAUUAGUGACAACCUCUAUAAACUAUACAUAAGAGUUAUCUUGUGAUGCAAAGAAACAUAACAAUGACCCUAGAAAUAAACUAUCUGUUCGCUGUUUUUGAUUUCACAACUUUAAAAUAUUCAUACUUUUUACUCGCAUUGCUUACCGCAGCACUAUACGUACUACUCAUAAAUAAAGUGUGAAUUCACGUCUCAGCUACGACUGGCAAGUCAUAUGCUUCAAGAUGUGCAUACCGUAUUUUUGGUUACUUAUUUGGAAUUAAAAAAAAAUCAAGGAGAAUAAUGAUAGAAUUAUAUUUGAUUAAAGUACAAAAAGACAUGUGUAUAGCUGUUAAAAUAAAAAAUAAAUGAAGAAAUAUGUAUUGUAUCUACUUUUUUUUCCCGGAAUGGUUACUAAAUACUAUCUAAAAUCACAUUUUCUCAUGCUGUUCAUAUUUAUGAUAGUUGUCAAGGCUUAGUUUAGAGUCUAAUCAGAAAAAAAAAAUAUAAAAAAAGUUAUUGAAUUAUUUUAUUAAUUUGUGAGUUACUAUGUCAAUCUAUGUAAGAUAUUUUUUAAAAUAAGAUAUCGUUUUAUUUUCUUUGCAAGUCUUUUAAAGCUAGCUACUUUUGUAAGUUAUUGAAUUUUUUUAAUUGAUAUUUUUUAUUUGAUUUAUUUUUAAUAUUAAAUUAGUUGAGAAAUGGAUUUUAUAAUUUAAUUUAUAUCUGUUUUUUUAUAAGGUUAUUACAAUUUCAAAUAAAAAUUUAUAUUUAGAGUUUGUGCUUGAUUUUACAAAUAUAUACUUUUUUCUAUAAAUAAAUAAAAAUAGUAUAUAUAGAUAAUAAAAUUAUUAAACUAAGUAGAGUUUAUAAUUUAGAUUAUAAGAUGAUUAAGGUCAAUUCAAAAUUAUACUAUCUUAAUAUUCUUUUUAAAAUUAUAUUUUUUUAAUUAUAUUUUUAUUGAUUAUUUAAAUUAUAUUUUGACCCAUAUAACCCAAUAAUUAUAUCCAAUAUUUUCAUUUGUCUUGUUAUAGGUCGUUGCGAUACUAACAGUAUAAAUUAUGGAUGGGUAAAACACUAAAUUGUGCACCAUCUCAAACACACUCCAGCAAGAGAGAGCGACGACAACAAUCAUGGGUUCUGAAACAGUGCCAAAAAUUCCUGUUGUUCAUUUGUCCAAGGAAAACUUCAAGCCUGGCUCUAGUUCCUGGCUGGCGGCUUGCAAUGAUAUCCGGCGAGCACUUGAGGAAUACAGCUUCUUUGAAGUAGCACACAGCGAACCUUCAAUGGAACUUUACAGGGAAAUUAUAUCGGUGCUAGAGGAAUUGUUCAAUCUCCCUGAUGAAACAAAAACCAGAAAUACACAUCCUAAGAUCGGCCACGGUUACAUGGGGAAAAUCUCUGGCUUCCCUGAGGGCUUGGGGAUCGAGUAUGCAACAAAGAAAGAUGAAUGUCAAAAAUUUACAAGCUUUAUGUGGCCCGAUGGAAAUGAAAGAUUCUGGUAAGAUCUGUAUAUUAUUAUAUUAUGAUUAAAUAUUUCUCUUUUUCCUUUUCCUUCGACCGAUCAUCUGAAUCCUUGCAUAUAGCUGUAUCCUCCUAUGCUAACAUUAAUGUGAGCUUAAUUAGUAUGAUUUACUUGCUUUUUGUUUGUAUCUUUAGUGAUGUCAUCCACUCUUAUACGAAGAUAGCAUCUGAACUAAAUCAGAUGCUGGUAAGGAUGUUGUUUGAAAGCUAUGGAUUGAAGAAAGACUACGAGCCUCUCCUAAACUCAACAAAUUACCUCCUACGUCUGUUGAAAUAUGGAAGAUCACUCGGGGAGACGAAUGUUGGUUUUAAGGCUCAUAUGGACAAGACUUUCUUCACUCUACUUUAUCAAAAUCCUGUUAACGGUUUAGAGAUAAGAACCAAGGAAGGAGAGUGGAUUACGUACGAGCCUUCUUCACCAACUUCAUUUGCUGUCAUAGCUGGUGAUGUAUGCAUGGUGGGUUUAUCCUAUUUCUUAUUUUACAAGAUUCCUAUUUCAAACGAUACACACACACACACUUAAUGGAUUCAUAACUCUUGAUCAUGAAUUGUGUUGUUUGAAUAGAAAAUCUUGGUUGGUGUUGUGUAGGCAUGGAGCAAUGACAGGAUAAAAUCUUCUUACCAUCGAGUCGUUGUAAGCAGCGAAGAAGACAGAUAUGCACUGGGGUUAUUCACAUUCCUAGAUGGGGUGGUGCAAACAGCAGAGGAGCUAGUAGAUGAUGAACACCCAUUACAGUACAAGCCCUUUGAACACCUGAAGCUUCUUGAUUUCUAUGAAUCAUCCAAUGAUCCGGAUAAACGUGACAUCAAUAUCAUGAAAACCUUCUGUGGUGUUUAAUACUCUAAAAUGGAAUGGGAUUAUGCUGCUUGACAUGUCUCCUUUUCUUUUGUUUUUCCUCGGUCGAUUGCUUUAAAACCAGUCUUAUUUGUACCUCUUGGGUGAAUCUCUAAAAUGUAAUGGGAUUAUGCUGCUUGACAUGUCUCCUUUUCUUUUGUUUUUCCUCGGUCGAUUGUUUUCAACCAGUCUUAUUUGUAUCUCUUGGGUGAAUGAAGUGUUUAAUUAUUUGGUGAAGGCCAGGAGUCAUGUUCUACCUUGGGAUU